GUCGGGAAGGUGUGAUUCAUCAGUUGAUACUGCAGAGGGUCAACCAAGCCUCUCAGGAAACGGUACUGUCGCUUGGCGUCGGUGUUGACAUCUUCAGGAGCAUAGCGAGACAAUUGCAGGAACCUGUCCCGGUACUCACUGACAGACAAUGGCCCUUGCUUGAGAGCCAGGAACUCCUCCUUCUUCACUGUCAUCAGACCCGCGGGCACGUGGUACUGACGAAAGCUACCUCUGAACUCUUCCCAGGUGAUGGCGUCAGGGUGGGCAUGGGUGGCGAGGUAAGACUCCCACCAUGACUGGGCUACUCCUCUCAACAGACGGGGACCAUACAGGACUUUCUCCCUGUCAUCGCACUGAGCGGUAUGCAACUCCCGCUCCACAGUGCGCAGCCAGUCUUCAGCAUCCAUGGGGUCAGAAGAAUGAGCGAACGUUGGUGGAUGACCUCUCAUGAAUUCAGCACGCUUGUCUCUGGGCAUCUGAGGCAUCUGAGGCUGAGGUGGGGCCUGCUGCUGUUGUUGCUGCUGCUGCUGAAUGGCGGCCAAAGUCUGACCGAUGGCUUGAACUGCCUGAGUCUGCAUCAGAAACAUCUGCUCGAUCGACAUCGGGGGCGGGGGCGGCAGGUACUGCUGCUGGGGCACCUCAUCCUGUUGAGCGACUCGCUCCUGCUGAGCACGCCUUCCUCCUCUGCGCCUGUUCUCUGACAUCUGCAGAAUGCAACCACACAUCAGAACUGAUCUGGCAAAUCUUGCAGCAUAAGAAAAGAGUAUAGAAUUCCUCAACAGCACUGAACAGAUGAGCAUCUUCACUGAUCUCCAACACAGACCACACAACUUCUCAGAUAAAGAGGAGAGUGGAAUAAAAGGUUUCCCAACUAUAUAACUAACUCCAUUAACAUAAUAGGUAAACCAAAAUGCAGGGGAUACCCACACUCUGGUGACAGUCAUUACAAAGAUCCAAACCAAACAUAGUUCAUCAUGACAAACACAAAUGCACAGGAUAUAGCAAACUACCCUGUCUAACUAAAACUAACUAAGACCGAGACUAACGCUAAGACUGUAGCUUCUAUGUAUAUAUUUCGUAUUAAUUACAAGAUCCAACUCUAACGAGCUAUGGUUCUAGAGUUAUCUUGGUCUUGCAGUCGGGAUUGCCAUAAGACUGGUGUCCACGCUGAGGUGAGCGGUACGGGUGCUGAGUCCCGACGGGAGCGGGGGAACCACCAUCCAGGUGACGACGUUCCGCGCGCUCAGCCCGCAGCAGGGCGAUCUCAGCACGAGCCCUACUCAGCUCGUCUAAUGCAUGGUCCAGCUCCGUGUUUAGCACAGCGGCUAGGUUGACUGUGCUGCUCAACCUAGGAUUGCCCUCACCAACAGGUGAGACAAUCACGCCUCCUGUGCUGCCAGAUGGACGACGGGGGUAAUACUUCAGGUCAAGACCGUCAGCUGCCCCACCGAAAACCGAGCAGUAGUGCGAAAGCGCACGCCGUGCAGCAUCUUGCAUGGCUGCCUCAGCUGAGUCCCGCUCAGAGAUAGAAUAGUGCUCUGAGCAGGCCUCCGCACCCUGGAGACUGUUCUCCGGGCAGCGCACCAAGCAGGUUGCCUCCCAGUGGUCCGGGUAGACCCCGCGACUAUGCUGGUAGACCACACAGCGAUACUCGACGGACCAAGUGUGCCGGUUAAAUGCCCGACGUAGCAGGGUGUCGAGCGCAUCGUGGAAGUGACACCCGCGAGCAGCGUCGCGAGUGAUGGGUCGAGCAACCCAUCCUUCCGGCUCAGGGUUAGCAGAGAAGUCGGUGUCGUGGCUCGAGCUGUCGUCGCCACCUCCGUCGUCUGGGUCUCCUCCAGCAGCUACUCCAGAAGCUGGGGCGCCCAGUGGUGGUGCAGGGGGCGCCUCCAGAGGAAGCACAGGGGAGCAGCUCCUCACGGACUCUAUCUCCUGGUGGAGCGAGAAAGAAGAGCCCUGCUGCUCCUGUCGUCGACGCUCCUGCUCCUCACGCAGGCGGUGGUGUAGUCUCUCCAAGUGGCUGGACUGUCCGGCCACGGGACGGCGAAGCGGACGCUCAGCAAGGUGGGAGGGUAAGAAGGGGAUGACUGACUUUCGUGCAGUGUGUCUAAGUCGAGCCAUCUACAAAAGACAUCGCAAGCAAAAGGGUGAGAACAGAACUAAUAUGACCAGCAAAUAAUGAAUCAUAAGUAAAUGAAGGAUUAGGAUAAAACAUGAUUUUCAGCAAGGUAUAAUAUAUAGUAGAACAUAGGUUUGGUCGGUAUGACCAACUUUUGAAGGGAUAUCAAAGUCAAGGCAGAGACAGAGGUCUAUAGUCCUUAGAACGACCAUUCUACUCUAGGUUAGCGGUCCUACAGUCAGCACGGCUUUGAUACCACUUAUGUCACACCCGGUUUUAGAAGGCAAACCGAAUGCGAACCAUGUACGUGCCAGGAUCAGUUAUUCACGUACACAGCAGUUACAUAACAUGGACAUCAUCACACAGUGCUCAAAUAGUAUUAAGAAGGGAAAUAGUCGAUUACAUCAUACGUCUGAGACGUCCAUAUAGUUCUUACAAUAAAUCAAAGUGCGGAAAAGAAACGUAGAUAACCGCGGCCUUCACAGGCAGCCGACUGGGGGUUGCCGCUAACCCACACCUAGAACUCGUCGUAAUCUUGGAACUCCUGGAAGUCUCCUUCCACAGCUUCAUCUUCGCCUGAGCAGUGGUUGCAAUGCUGACAACCUGGGGAUGGGGGGGGUUUGUUGUGUAGAGCAAGGGUGAGUACACAUCAACAUACUCAGCAAGUAUCCUGUUUGGCUGUAGUGGACUAGCUGUAUGUGGGGAUAAGUCAAGCAGUUGCUUUUAAUUGGUCAGAUUAUUACUUACUAGUAGAAAGCCAAGUUUUAGCAUUAACCCAAGUUAUUAACCCAAACGUACUCCUUUCCAAACGGAAAGAAUACCACUUACCAGCACCAUAGUCAUAACCAAAACCAUCAAUCUCAUAACCACCUGUACCAAAGUAUCUCUGAUCAAGUACCACUAAUCACUGGAGCUCCCUUGGCCGCUCAUAACCGCGAGCACGGCUGAUAUAUCAGUUUUCAAACACUCUACAGAGGUUGUGCACUUUACCCACAAGCCGUGAUUCCCAUUCUGCCCGGAGAUCAUGACUCUCCAUUGAUCACUACCAAGGUGACCCAGCAGGGCAUCACUACGUAGCCUUUACAAAGAUUCCUCGGGGCUGUAGUCACCCGUUAGGUUUCCUAAAUGCACCGCACUCCUCCCCAAGGGGCGAACCCAAACUUGGCAGAGCGAGCCGCAUACACCGAGCCCCAUUGACGGCACGACGGCUAAGUGAACUACACCCCGGAUCCUCUAAUUAUUCAGCUAAGGGCAUCCCAUUCCACCCUCAUGGUUGCACUGUUUUCCCGGGCGGUCAUCCAUAGAACAGGUCCUUACGGAGAGGCACUCGAGAAACUGCUCGAGCCCCCUUGAUGACCACAAGUACCACAUCAUAAUAAGAGAAGGGAAAACAGCAUAUCAUAGAUAAUCUCAUCAUGUUCAUUGAUUAGAGUUUGAGCAAUAGCAUAAAGCUAAACAAUAAUAAUCCAACCCAGAUAGGUAAACAAGGACAUGGAUAACAAAAGCUAGUCAAUCCUUAGGCAUAAAUGUGUAAAGCGGGAGGUGAAUUAAAUAAUGAAUAGGACAUAGAUAGGUCAAGGGACACUUGCCUCCACCAACCGACUGCUGCUCAGGGGCUUCUCCUGCGAGUUCCUCGGGCUCUUCGACUGGAUCGUUCUCUAAGCGGGUGCAAACAUACAUACAUCCAUUCAUUGAAAUUAGGAAACCAACAGUACACCAUACAAGAGAACAGGUAAAGCAAAUAUGCAUAGAAUACCACAUACGAUGAUGAAUUUACCUUGGUUAGAAAGAAACGAGGGAAGGUCUCGCAGGGGUUAAGGCUUAUGCUCGAGGGGCACUACGGGUAAACGAAUGACUAGACGUCACGCGCUCUAGUUCCAGUUGGUCCUAACAAAAGGAUUAGCUACAUGCACUAAUGUAAACACGAUCAUUUUUAGUAGAUUAACAUUGAAUAAGAUAGACGAUUGACUAUACAAAUUAACUAACGUAACCAAUUUCCAAAUUGAGACUCAUACUCUAUUAAUAUAAACAACGUGAUUAGCGCAUAUAGGAGACGGGGGGGGGGGGGGGGGUAGACGGGGCACGACGAGUCGUGCCAAGGCACGCGCACUACGCGGGCACGCGCGCGAGGCCGCAUGCACACGCCACGAACUAACCGUGCGCACGUCGGGGCCGUGCGCUAGCCGAGCUCAAAGCCGCGCGCCAUAGGCACGCUGGGCCGAACUCAAGGCUACGCCGGGGCCGACACGACGCGAGCAAGGCACGGCGGGGCGGGCGGGCAAGCACGCCGGGGCAAGCGAGCGCGAGCGAGCGAGGACGCGGCCGGACGAGGCCGAGCGCGGGGACGGGCGGCCGAGCCGGGGCACGGGGGCGGUUGAACCGGGGGGGGCGACCGAGCUCGCCGGGAGGCGGGCGCGCGCGGGCGGCUUGCCGGAGCGGGCGCGAGGGCGGGGCCGAGCGGGGCCGGGCGAGGGCGGCCAAGCCGGGGGCGGGGCCGAGGGGCGCGGCCGAGCGCGGGACGGGGCGGGGACUCGCCGGAGCAGCCGGGCGCGGGCUCGCCGGAGGGCGGCGAGGCGGGGCCGGCGCGGGCGGCUCGCCGGAGGGCGGCCGAGGCGCGGGGGAGAGGGCGCCGGAGGGAGGGGAGGAGAGGGGGGGAGGGGAGGAGAGGGGGGGGUCUCACCGGAGGGGAGAACGGCGGCGGCGGCGCCGGGGAGCGGCGGCGGCGCGGGGGCAAGGGCGGCGGCGGCUAGGGUUAGGGUGAGGGAGGGAGAGAGAGAGAGAUGACGGGCGGGGCCCGCGGGGGGGGGGGGGAUUUUUGGGAAAAAAGAAAAGGGGUGGGGGCGGCUGGGCCGGCUGGGCCCAAAGUGGGGGGAGGGGGCUCGCGGCUGGGCCGGCGCGGGGGGGAGAGGGGAGGGGGCGGCUGGGCCGCCAGCUGGGCCGGCCGAAGGGGGGGGGCUGGGCCGAAAUGGGAAAGGGAGGGAGGGAGAGAAAAAGAAAAGGGUUUUCUUUUUCUAAAAUCUAAUUUUCUUUGGAUGAAUGCUUUUACAUUUUUAAACAAUCAAAAGUAUGCAUGGUUCGGCAUGGUGCAUCACACGAAAUAAAGUGUUUUAAGGUUUUGCUUUACACGAGGUCUAAAGCCGAAACCCGCUGCGACUUUGGAAAAGAUCAAGGCUUAGCGAGAAGAAAAGGGAAAAGGAAAGAGUAACACCUGAAUUUGGUGAGGGAAAAGAAGAAAAAAAAUCUACCCCCAAAUUCAGGGCGUUACACUAUGUCACAUGGUAUACACCUUAGCGAGAAGCAGUGCCUUGCAACGGCUAAUGAGUGAGAGCGCAUGAGUAAGGUACCAUACGCCUCAGCAAUUGGAUCAAUCAUGUAUGCCAUGAUAAGGACACGCCUAGAUGUUUCAUACACUGUAAGUGCUAUGAGUAGGCACUAGGCUGAUCCAGGUGAAGAUCACUAGACAGUGGUAAAAGGCAUUCUUAAGUACUUGAGAAGGACUAAAGAUAUGUUCCUGGUAUAUGGGGGUAAGAAGGAGCUUGUUGUAACUGGUUACAUUGAUGCGAGCUUCCAAACUGAUCCAGACGAGUUAAAAUCGCAAUCAGAUUUUUUGUUCACAAUAAAUGGUGGUGCUGUUAGUUGGAAGAGUUCCAAGCAGGAGAUUGUGGCUAAUUCUACAAUAGAAGCCAAGUACAUUACAACUUCUGAAUCUGCGAAGGAAGGUGUUUGGAUAAGGAAGUUCCAAUGAGUUAUAAGGGUCCAAAUACAGCUAGUUGCUAACAUUUUCAGAAAUACAAACCCUAGGUCAAAACUACUGGUGAGCUUUUCUCCACCUUUUGCUAUAAAACUUGGAAAUCUCUACACAUGAAAGUUGUUUGGUAUAGGAAACUCUAUAAGUUUGAUAUUUUGACUUUUGGAAAAAUACGACAAGAUUACAAAUUUCACUUUUGGGAUCAAAACUGGAGUUCAUCAGAUGAACUCCCCGCUUAUAACUAAUCACCUCAUCACACUUAGAGUUUUCUUAAGCCUAGUAAAUGCACUCUAGAUUCAUUACAAUCACAGAGAUGCCAAUGCACAUGAUGCUAUGCCAAGUUUUUGUUUUAGUAACACUAGGGGUGCUACAAGUUCAGGUAGUGACUUCAGAGCUUUUUCAUCAUUACUUACCCGAAGGAUCAACUGCAACAUCUUUGUCAUUGCACUCGAAGGUGCUAGAUCAUUAUUACAUUGAUUUGCAUGAUAUAGAAAAAGUCUGUCAAACUAAACGUAGAUAGAUAGUAAUGAAUUCUUGAUAGCUUCGGGCUUGCUUACCAAGCCCCUUGGGCUUUUAAAUAUAUAUGCUUUGUCUCCAAACCAUAUUGUUGACACUACGGAUUUUGGAUCCCUCCUUUCUGUCCCUCUGCUGCAAGUUUUGUCAUGGAAACUUGUGUUGACUAGUAGUGUCAUACCCGGAUUUAAGGGAUAAUGCUGGGUGCAUCUCAUAUGUGCGCCAAGGAAGAACAACACACAUAAUAACAGAGUGCAUAGAUAUAAAUGUCAUAAAUGUCAUGAAUUUACUUAUUACAUAGCGGAAGUCUUACAAAAUAAAUGAUAAAUAUAAAACGAACUAAAUCUUAUUUUCCUGGCGCCAUAAAGCUGACUGGGAGACGCUAUCUAGAUUAACUCGAACUCCUCGCUGGGCGGCUCCUCUAGAACCACCUAUUCUUCUCCUAUGGGGGGUGUGAGACAACAAGGGUGAGCUCACAUACGUUCAUAGCUCAACAAGUUGUGGGGAAUAAUGUGCAUGAACUCACCAAAGCUGGGAGUUCAUGUGAAGUGUAAGGCUGAUCAACAAAAUAAAGGUUGAAGUUGAGCAUUGCUUUUAUGUUGGUCAAAAUUUUAUUAGCAGUUACUAAGUGUAAGUAAAUACCAAACCAUAGUAAUAAUAAAUAAAAGUAAUAAUAAAAUAAUCCCAAUGCGAUGUAAAUGACUAAUUGAAUUUAAUUCCAUAAAUUAAUCAUGUCAGGGUCCGAGCUGCUCAUGAUCGUGAGCACGGCUAGUAUACCGGUUUUACACUCUGCAGAGGUUGCGCAUCUUUACCCACAAGUCAUGUUACCCAUCUGCUAAGAGACGAACAAUCCCGUACACCUCUACCGAGGAGGUGAGGCAGGGUAACACUACGAGGCCUUUACAAAGUUCCACUAGCUUCAGAAAACCCGCUACAGUUUAUAGGAAGCUCCAGUGCAGGGAUCCCUCGCCUGACCGCCAUCGUAGUAAAAUCAACCCAAGGACCUCCCUACACUGACCACUCCCCUACUGCCCUUGCCCCUUUCGGGUAAGGUAGUCAUCCACUAGCUUUCCUAGUUAAUCAGCCAAGGACGUCCCAUACCACUCUUAUGGUAGCACUCUUUUCCCGAGUGGUCGCUCCAUGUUCCCAUUAACAUAAUGAUCUUAUCAUGAACAGUAAAUAAUAACUGAGAAUAAAAGUGUGAACAUGAUUAAUGUAUAUCUCUAUACUCAAAACCACAUAAAGCAAUAGCAUAUACUACCCAAAAAUAUUCAGUGGUAAAACAAGGUAUAAAGAUAGCCAAAACUAGGGUAACCUAUUGGAUCUCAUAAAAAUCAUUAUGAUUAAUAAGAACGUGAUUGGGUAAAAAGAAGUGAUCAAGGGCACAACUUGCCUUCAAUGAGCUCCUACUCAACAACUUCUAUCUGCUGAACACCAGGAUCCUCAGUAGCUUGCUCGUCUACCCUCAUCAAUACAAACAUUCAUAGUAUAGCAAAAAUUAACUAGUCACCAAACAUGUAAAAAAUGCAUAAUAAUAAUCUACACAUUAAAAUAAGAUACUAGGAAUAUGAAUCAUUAAUUUUGGAGUUAUGGAUUUUAAGUUAUGAAUUUCCAAAGGUUUUAUGUCUUUGAUACAAGGUUAACUAAGGAAUAAAUUUUAUUACUGUUUUCAUGCCAAAACAGACACUAGGUGAUAAACAAUAGUAUUAUAAAAUUAUAGAAAUUGGAAUGGAUUAAUUUGGACUAAGUAUGAAUUUUCUUGGAAUUUAUCAGGUUCUAGGAAUUGUUUUUGUAUUAAAAAUGCAUUUUCUAAUUCAUUUACUCUGAUUUUCCAUUCUCUGGAGUGCGCAUCAAAUUCCAGAAAGACUAGGGGCUAUCCUAUCAACAUCCCUAGACUCAGCCUAACCCAGGACUGGACCGCGGGUUGAUUCUAGUAAAGCGCAGGGUCUCUUUUAGAAAACACUCGGCUAGCAAGGUCCGGACUAACCUGAGCCGUCCGAUCAACCACUAGCGGUCCAGAUUAAAUCACAUUCUCCACGAACCGGUAUGCUUCUAUGACCAUUGGAUCCAGGAUCGAGGAUCCGGAUUGAAAGUAACCUCUAUCGACCGCCGCCCGCACGAUCAUCAUCUGACGGUUCAGAUCACACAGCGCGAACGAAUACGUGGUCGUCUAAUCUCGGCCGUAGAUCAAAGAUUCAACGGCCCCAUUACUUUCCAUAAACCAGGAUACGCGCGCGGCGGUGCCGAUGAACAGGGGCACCACGACGGUGCCCCGCGCCGGCGAGCAAUUACUCCGCCACCAGAGCACGCAACUACCUAAUCGAUAGGCUCUACGCAACCAUAGUGAAUGUGGAUAGAUGGGGAGGGUCUAUACCGUCAAUGGCGCGGCGUAGAGGACUGACGGCGGAAAGGUGAGCUCCGCGGUGGUCCUCGAUGCUCUGACGAGGAAUUCCUCGGAAUCAUGUCGCACACACGACCGAUGAAUCGAGCGCGCACAAUGCCAACCUCACGGCGAGUCUCCGCGACACCACAUCUAGUACCAACCAACGGUCAGGCAGAUUGUUGAGUGCGGCGGCUAUAGCUUCCCUUACGCGGACUGUGACUUUCUCUCACCCAGGUGGCGGCGGAAAGAAGAGGAGGCAAGGAGAGAGUCAAGGGCUCGAGUCCUCUUUUGAAGCUAGGGCGAGGUGGAAUCGUGCGCCAACAACCUGGCUGAAUCGCUCGGUCCAUUUCGCGGAGCUACCUGGGGAAGAAAAAUAGUGCGACACAAGUGUAUGCCAUGGAGGGCCCACGAGCCAGUGAGUCCGUGCGCCAAAGAAGGGGGAAAGGAACGAGCGCGAGUGGUGACUGGUCGGUGGGGCCCGCAGAUCGGCGAUUGGGUCGCAGGAACGGUGCGGAAACGGCUGAUAUGGAAGGGCCCGUCCGACAGCGUAACUGACUCCCGGCUCUAGUGCGAGCGCAUGACAAGUGGGGCCCGAUCAUCGGUGCCUCAAGGUAGGAGCACGGGUUGGGCCGUGCGCGCUGGAAAGACUUAGUGGGCCGAAUAACGUGUAGUGAGCCCAGUUCCUUUUAUUCCCCUUUCUCUUUUAUAUUUCCUAUUUUGUUUUCUCUUUUUCAAUUCCAAAUCUAGAAUUUGAAUUCAAAUCUUGUUGCAUAAUUUGUACUCAGAUUAGUUACUCAUCUUGAACAUACUAGUGUGCGAUUUAUUUAUUUAUGAAUUUAUUUUGUAUUUUAUAAUAUUCUUUCUCUUUUUUCAUUUUAAAUUCCAAAUUCAAAUUUAUGUUUUAAUCCAAUUCUUCAACCCCCUAUCAUAUAUUUAUCCAUGUUAUUAAUUUAUUAAAUGCACAAACAAAGAUCCAAUAUGAUGCAUGGUUUAUUUGUGUUUUAGUAAAGAAUUAUUCACUUUUAAACAUUGUUGGAACUUGCUCUCUGGUGCAAGGGAAUCCAACGGGGGUGUGUAGUGACGUAAAUAGGGUUCUCGCACGAGAUGGCAAUAGCUCUGUUGAUCUAGCCUCUCAAGGGCACUGUGCGGGGGUAUUUAUAGGUAUCUGAGUAUCCAGCGUCCUGCGUUAAGGACGCAUGUGCCCUCAGACACCUUGGUUAUCCCCGGAAUAUUCCCAUAAAGCGGGGUUACAGACCGUAAUUACAGGGAUGCCUUUACAAAUUAGGCCCGUAAUGCGCAGCGGCCACGCAGGGCCUGUUACAAUGGGCCGAAGCGCACGUGGGCCUACAUGCUGGACGAGGUCGCAAGAUAAGACGACCUCGUCGCAGGUCUUCGUCUGGUGACGUAUGGGACGAAGGGUGAGCCUGCCCGUUGUCUUGUCUCCGUUGGUCCAACGAUUACGGCGAACGCAUCGAGCGAAGGGUGGCGUCUUCGCCUUCGCCCCAACAUUUGCCCUCUGAGGGACCAGUUCGACUAAGUCAUCUGGUGCCGAAGACGUCGCUAGAUGGCGGAGACGCUGCCCUCGCUCGAAGUGGUUCCGCGGGGGUUUUUGACAUGACCGUUGAUUGACACGGUAUUGUUGGACUGCGGGCUUCCCGAAGCGCCGCGCCCUGUGUAUAAAAGGGGACGGGGGGCGACUCGUUUUGAACUUUAUCUUUUCGCGCUCCAUGAAAACCCUAACCGCCUUUUCAACCCUCUUGCUGCUCGUCUGCCCUCCUUGCUCUUGUUUGCCGGAGAUCUGGCCCAUGUGAAGCAGACCGCCCGCCGCCACCGACGGUACGUAGUGAUGCCGACCUCUUCUUCUUCUGCUGCCGCUACGCCGCCGGCCGACGCGUCGUCUGAGGAGACGCUGAGCACUAUGGCGGCGGAGGAGUUGCGCGCCGGCGAUACAGUGGAUUUUGGUGUGUCGCGGAUGUCCUCGGUCCGCGUGCAAGAUAUGCAGCAGCUUGGUUACUUUGGCGGCGGAGUCGCUCGCAUCCCGGGAACGGAGGAGGUCCCCGAGCCAGAAGGCGAGUUGGUUGUGUUCGAGGCGUUCUUUGCCGCUGGUCUUUGUGGCGGAACUGCCCGAAUUAUUCCAACUUAAGUGCCUAAGCCCCGCCUUAGAGGCUAGACCACACUUAAAUGGGAAUAACCCGUCAAUCCCUCGGAUCUAGUCCGACACGGCCACUGACAGGAUCAAGUACCACAAUCUCACUCGAAGGUGAGUCACAGAGCAAAUACAAUAAAGCAUAAAACCAUGCAGGUAAGAGUAUUAAAAUUAUUACAUCACCAUCGGAGUUUUGCAAAAGUAACCAUCAUUGUUCGAAGUGCAGCGGAAAUAAACUAACGGUAAAUAAAUAGAGAGAUGGGGAAGCCUGUCCCAUCACUCCUCAUGCUCCUCCUCAGCCGAGGCAGGGUCCCACUCGACAGUCCAACCCGGUGGCAAGAUGGACGGCCAAGUCACUCCAGCAACCAUUUCCUCCAGAGAACCUGUAAAAAUUAUGCCACAAGCAAGGCUGAGUAUACUAAUACUCAGCUAGACUUACCCGGUGUGAGGAGUCUACUCCUCUACCUCUAGACAUGCAGCUGUUUGGCCGUGGGGUUUGGUUGCCAAAAGCACUAGCUGAGUUUCUAAAUCAAGUUUUUAACUUUGUCAAAAUUAAGUGUGACUCUCUUAAGGCUAAAGAUGUACUAUCUAUUCAUACAUAGUAGCAAACAUUUUUAGCAAUCAACAUCUUGUAUCAUCUCAGCACAAUUCCACUUGUUACUCAAUGUAGCAGCAUGGAUCAAGCAGUCUCAUUAGCUGCGAGAAGCAGACGAUUCGAAUCGAGUUUUUAAACCUUGCAAGGUAAACCUAAACACACGACAUAUAGGGGCACUCCGUCCCCACACACAUCAACCGUCCCCAUCGAUUCCCUGACAACAGAUCAGGGCUCACCGCCUUGGCGUACAAUGCCUCACUGACCCCGACUGCCGUCGUGCAGUGACCGCACUUGUACCCACCAUAACCGGAAUGGGAGACCACGUCUCAGGUCGCGUGAGGGGAUAUGUCUGCGGGCAGGUUCACUCAGGUACUAGGCUUACCGAUUUACCAUAUUUCUCGGUAUGUGUUUAGUACGUUCAAACGCUUGACUCAAGGUACCACACCUUAAUCCUUAUUCAAAUUUUUAUCCCGUGGACAACCAAUCCCCAUGGAUUGUUGUCCACAAACCAGCAUCAUUCUGAUAAGAAAGUGGAUACAAUCAAUUUCCUGACCUCGCGCGAGUGCUAGAAAAAUCACUCGACUUCUACCGAGAUCCUACUUAAAUAAGCAGCUACUUGACCUAGCAUACUAGUAUUCAUUUCAACAGGAUUCCUAAGAUCAUGCAACUAGGGUUUCAAACAAUUCCUACACCUAAGUGCACAAUCAAUCCUACAAUCAUUAAGUGAAGUAAAAUAGCAUAAUUAACAGGUUAUGCAUAAAACCGGGGCUUGCCUUCCAAAGCAGUGGCAGGCAGGUCCUCUGGUGCAGACUCUGGUGCUGGAUCCGGGGCUACCUCCUGAGCAGCUCCUUGCUCCGGCACGAGGACAUACUCUCUGUCAGCAAGGUUACAGUCUAUCGAAUGCAAUGAACAUGUAUGUCAUGAUUAUGCAGGAUUCAAUAACAUUAUGCUAAAAAAGAAACUAAGUCAAGAAGUAACUUAGGGUUUCUUGGUUAUGUGGGGCUUCUAGUGGGUUAGACUUAUCACCUUUAGGCUUAGGUUUUUGUUGAGGAUAAACAUAGGGAAUUUGUAUUGCUCUUGUAUCCUUCAGUGGAUAAGAUAUAAAGGUUUUUAGGAUGGCACCAUUUUUCUAUUACCCACUUUCCCUUUCUUUUAUUUUCUACUUAUGGUUUCUAGGGUAGGUUUGAACUAUGACAGGGGUUUAAUAUUUUCCAAAAAUUCUGUAAAAAGUACAGUGGGUUGUCAUUUGCUAUUAUAGCUUGUUUUAAGAAUUUGAGGCUUAAAGUACAAAGGCUAGGCUUUAAACAAAAAUAACAAGAGUUAUGCAAAAUGGGCCACUUUACACUACAUCUCUUAGUUAGGGGUGGGUUCUGUCCUAAAGGUUAUUUUUGCUGGCAUCCAAUAGUAAUAAUAGGCUUCUGUGCUAAAAAUCACAGAAAACUACAGGGUGGUUAUUUAGUUAUGAUUUUCUUUAGUUUAAUGUCAAAAAGGCACUUUCUACUACAUUAUUAUUUGAAAAAUGUCAAACAGUAGAUUUCAUAUUUUUCCUAAGUUCUCAUUAAUAAAACAUUAGUUAUCCCAAGGGUGGGGGUGUUUUUACCAUGGGGUUAUUUUUGUAGGGUUUUUCUAAGUUAUCCUUAUUUUAUUAAAAUAAAAGGUAUCCUACUUAUUUUAUACUAAACCAGGGUAUGAUAGAUUUUUCCUGUGAACUAUAUUGAAUAAGUAUCCCAACAAAAACAGAGGUGAUCUCUGGUUUAUUAUUUAUACCCCCUUUUCUAUUUUCCUUAAUCCUAAGCAUAUUGCAUAAUAAGGGGUAAAGACUAACUUAUUGUGGUGGACAGAGAGGUUUAACAUUUUUAAACAGGUCAGUAGGUAGAUAUAAACUUCUCCAAAUUUUUCUAACCCUAGUCAAAUAGCACAACUAUUUUUCUUUCUAUUAUUGAGCUUUUGGCUAAAACUAUCAUUAAAUCAGAACUUUAAAGUUUUCUAUAGUACCAAGGGGUUUUAUAUUUUUCUUAAGUAGGUUACAUUAAUUAAAGUCUGGCAAAAAUGGUUUGACCAAAUUUGGAUGAACUAAACUGAAGUUAUGAGUUUUUAAAGUUUCUGUUCAAAUUAAAAACAGACUUAAUAAAGGUUUUCUGGAAAAAUAGUUUACACCGAGGUCCCUGGGUUUAAACUAAAUCAACCUUCGCAAAUCUACCCUUGCACCACUAUUCCCCUGUGUCUCUGACAUUUCACAAAACCCCCUGACCUUCUCUCGCUCUCACCCGCAGUCCUUCCCCCAAUGUAAACAGUAACCGCGGGAAAGAAAAGGGUGGCGCGGCUUACCGGCGGCGAGGGAGGUCCAGCGAAGGGUGGGGUUGGCUCGGGGAGACUCUGGCGGUCACGUCGAGGUACGACUUGACGUCGGGGAUGGCCGGAAUCGCUCGGUCCACGCGCGCAGGCGGGUGUUCUCGUCGGCGGCGAGUGUACCGGCCAAACCACGGCGAACUGGUUCAAUCCAAGGGCACGGUGAGCUUCACGGGGUAACAUAGUGAUCGUGUGCACAAGGAAUCGAAGGAUGGUUGAGUGGAUUACCCGGUCCACGUACUCCGGCGGGGUUGAGAGCUCCGGCGAGCGUGGACUGGCCUCUCCGGCGAAGCAAACUCCGAUUCCCCGCUCGGGGAGCUUCGCGGAGGUGUGCACAGUCUUCUCCGAGGGCUGGACGGGGUUGGGAAUGGCUCUAUUGGCCGGUCUACGGUGGCAGAGGGAUUGGGCGGCCGCGGACACGCUGCGCACGGGCAAACGGCGGCGAGCUAAACUCCGGUGAGGUUUGAGGGUGCGCGUAAGAGUGCAGUCGAAGCCUGGGAGGGCUUUAUAGGCGCGGGCGCGGGCCAUGGCGCUGGUUUGGCUCGGGCGCGGCGCUGGGCAAGCGGCGGCGCGCGCGAGCGUGCUCUGGCGCGGGCAGGAAGCGUCGAACACGUGGAGGUGUGUUUCUUCCAUUGUUCAAACGUCUGCAGAGAUCGCAAACGUGCGAAUCUUGCCAUGAAUCCGGCGCAGACCUCUUCCUGGCACCUAGGGCUAUCUCUCAUGUGUGAGUUCCAAUGGAGGAUACGCCCUAGAUCAGGAGAUAGACGGGCGCCAAAUCUGGCUUGUCUCACUGCCCACCUCGCGACAAAACUGAUGCCAAUACCUGUCAAACGUCAAAGUCUCGGUUUCCACUUUUUCCAGGGGGUGCCUUAGGUGGUAUGCCACACUUUUGGUAUAGAACCUAAGUGGUUUUGGUGCCAUCUUCAAAGUGAACACGGUUGAUCUUUGGAUUAGGGUUAAAAAUUGGACUUAGAGAGAAAUAGAGAGCUCUAGCUCUCUCUCCACUUGGAGAUUUGAUUUAGGGUUUUUCCAGGGGUCUUUUUGCAAUCUUACCCUCCCCUAAUUGAUGGUUAUAAGGUUAGUUAGGGCUUUGCUAAAGAUCACUCAUGUUUUGCAUCUUGCUUACUCUCUUUUUCCCCCCUUAACCAGGGUUUGGGAGAUAGGGUUUAGGAGGGCCUAGGGUUCUUUCCCCCCUCUUAUCCAAGGGAAUAAGUGCACAAGGGUUUGAUUAAUACUUCUUAGGCCAUUAACAACUUGAUUAACAGAAUACCUCCAAGGUUCUUAUAUGUUCCCUUAAGUCUCUACCACAUGUGAUCACAGCCUUUAGUGCCAAGGUGGGCUCUAGCCAAGGUAACACCUGGGGUGUUACAGCCCUCCCCCCUUAAAGGAAUCUCGUCCCGAGAUUUCAGGUAGAGUCCCUUGGAGGGGUGCUUGAAGGUGUGUUAAGUUUCUCUUAUUAACUGCUCUUCGAAUGUCAUUCUCUUUGCAACUUCAGAAGGAAGCCCUUCUUAAGUUAAAUCCACAACUUAGACUAUCCUUGUUAUCUAAGUUUUUCUUAUAAUUGAAUUCAAAGGGCAGGUGGGGGUGGGGUUUUGGGGUUACAUACCGACUCCUUUGGGUAAAAAGUCGGGGAAGCGAGAGCGUAGAAAAUCCUCAGUCUCCCAUGUAGCUUCUUCUGCUGAAUGGUGACUCCAUUGAACCUUAUACAUUCUGAUUGACCUUGCCCGAGUUGAUCUCUCCUUUUGAUCUAAUACUUUGACGGGGUACUCUUGGUAGGACAAGUCUGGUUCUAUCUCAAUGUCUGGUUCCGGUAGUACUUCAGUGGGUAGGCGAACACAUUUCCGCAGCUGAGAUACGUGGAACACAUUGUGAACUGCUGACAUGUGAGGUGGCAAUUCCAAUUGAUAGGCAACGGGUCCACAAGCUUUCUUGAUCUCGUAGGGUCCAAUAUAGCGAGGAGCUAACUUGCCCUUGAUCCCGAAUCUCUGGACACCCUUGGUGGGUGAUACCUUAAGAUAGACAUGAUCUCCCACCUCAAACUGUAGAGGCUUCCGCCUCUUGUCAUGAUAGCUCUUUUGCCUAGCCUGAGCAGCUUCUAGGUUCUUCUUGAUGAUCCUGACCUUUGCCUCUGCCUCAAGUACCAAGUCUGGCCCAAAAAUUUCCCUUUCUCUUGCUUGAGACCAAUUUAGUGGGGUCCUACACCUUCUCCCAUAUAAGGCUUCAAAAGGUGCCAUCUUCAGACUGGACUGAUAGCUGUUAUUGUAAGAAAACUCUGCCAAAGACAGACACUUGUCCCAAUCCUUCCCGUAAUGUAGUGCACAUGCUCGCAACAUGUCUUCCAAAAUCUGAUUUAUCCUUUUUGUCUGGCCAUCUGUUUGAGGAUGGUAGGCUGAGCUUCGUAUGACAUGGGUCCCAAGGGAUUCCUGCAAUUGCUCCCAAAAUCGUGCCACAAAUGGUGCUCCUCUGUCCGAGACUAUAGUCCUUGGUAUCCCAUGCAGACGAACUAUUUGGUCAAUGUAGAUCUCCACAUACUUUUCUGUCCUGUGGGUGGUGUGCACUGGUAAGAAAUGCGCAGUCUUUGUCAAUCUGUCCACAAUAACCCAAAUAGAAUCAUGGUGCCUGGAUGUAUUGGGUAAUCCCACUAUAAAGUCCAUGCAAAUGUCCUCCCAUUUCCAAGAUGGUAUGGGAAGGGGUUGUAGAGGGCCGACUGCCUUCAAAUGACUAGCUUUGAUUCUCUGACAGGUAUCACACUCGGAGAUGUACUUGGCAAUUUCCCUCUUCAUUCUGGUCCACCAAUAUAAAGAUAUGAGAUCAUGGUACAUCUUGUUGCUACCAGGGUGCAUGGAGAAUUUGGAAAGGUGAGCUUCAUCUAGUAUCUUCUUUCUGAGCUCAGGGUCCUUGGGAACAACCACUCUAUCUCCAAACCAUAGAAUUCCCUUGCUGUCCUGUCGGAAACACUUGUAUUUCUCUGCCCUUUGCUUGACCAUUUCCUUAAUCAUUUGGACACCCUUAUCCUCAAUCUGUGCCCUUACUAUUUGCUCUUGCAAUGUGGGUUCCACCGAGAUAUAACUUAAGUCACCCGAAGAAACAACUUCCAGGUUCAGCUUGCACAACUCAUCGCACAGGGUGGUGACUCUUGCAUCCAUGCUCAUACAAUUGCACUGGGCUUUUCUGCUCAAGGCACCUGCCAGAACAUUUGCUUUGCCCGGAUGGUAAUGCACUUCCAAAUCGUAGUCCUUGAUUAACUCCAACCAUCUCCUUUGCCUCAUGUUCAGAUCUGCCUGAGUGAAGAUGUACUUGAGACUCUUGUGAUCAGUGUAGAUGUUACAGUGAGCUCCCAUCAAGUAGUGCCUCCAUAUCUUAAGAGCAUGAACCACAGCUGCCAAUUCCAGAUCAUGUGUGGGGUAGUUCUGCUCAUGGGGUCUGAGUGCUCGUGAAGCAUAAGCAAUGACUCUGUUCUCUUGCAUCAAGACACAUCCUAAUCCGGUACCAGAAGCAUCACAAUAAACUUCAAAUGGCUUGGUGUUGUCCGGUUGAGCUAGCACUGGGGCUGUUGUCAAAUGCUGCCUCAAGGUAUGAAAGGCAUCUUCACACUUCUGGCUCCAAACAUACUUGACUCCUUUCUUUAACAAUUCAGUCAUUGGUUUGGCAAUUCUGGAAAAAUCCGGGAUGAAUCGUCGAUAAUACCCUGCCAAUCCCAGAAAACUCCGAAUCUGCCUCACUGUAGUCGGGGGUUUCCAAUCCAUCACCUCCUGCACCUUUUCAGGGUCAACUGAUAUCCCAUCCUGAGAAAUUGUGUGACCCAAGAAUUUAAUCUCCUUCAGCCAGAAUUCGCACUUAGAUAACUUAGCAUACAACUGAUGGUCACGCAGUCUCUGAAGUACAGUAUGCAAAUGUUUGGUGUGCUCGGCUUCAUUCUUGGAAUAAACCAGAAUAUCAUCAAUGAAAAUGACCACGAACUUGUCCAAUUCCGGCAUAAAUACUGAGUUCAUCAGGUACAUAAAAUAAGCCGGGGCAUUGGUCAGCCCAAAAGACAUCACCAAAAACUCAUACAACCCAUAUCUGGUAGAGAAAGCCGUCUUGGGAAUAUCGCUGGCACGGAUCUUGAUUUGAUGGUAACCUGAGCGAAGGUCUAUCUUGGAGAACACCUUGGCUCCUACCAACUGAUCAAACAGAACAUCAAUACGGGGCAGUGGGUAUUUGUUCUUGAUAGUCACCGCAUUGAGAGGGCGGUAGUCAACACACAUCCUCAAACUCUCAUCCUUUUUCUUCACAAAUAAUGCUGGACAUCCCCAUGGUGAAGUACUUGGGCGAAUAAACCCCUUGUCCAACAAUUCUUGCAAUUGCUUCUUCAAUUCUGCCAAUUCCGCGGGGGGCAUCCUAUAGGGUCUCUUAGAGAUAGGAGCAGUCCCGGGUUGCAAUUCGAUUGUGAACUCAAUGUCUCGAUCAGGUGGCAUCCCUGGUAACUCAUCCGGAAACACAUCCGGGUAGUCAUGGGCCACUGGGAUCUUUUCCACUGGGGAAUCUAUCAUGACGAAGGCACAAGAACGGGUACAACCCUGGUCAGGCAGAUAUAGUGUAGUUUCACCACAAGUUGGUGAGUGCACCUCAAUGGCCCUAGCUGCAAUAUCAAUCACAGCCUGAUGUUUGGUCAACCAGUCAGUUCCCAAUAUGAUAUCCACACUAUCCAACCCCAAAAUGAGGAGGUUGGUUUUAAUUAUCAGACUACCAAACUUUAUAGGCACAUUCUUGUUAAUUUGGUAAGUGGCAACCCUGCCUCCUGGCGUUGAAAUUGUGAUACCUCCAUUGGUGUGGUAAAAAGGUAAUUGGCACUUGGCACUAAAUUUGGCACUGAUAAAACUAUGCGAUGCACCAGAAUCAAAUAGAAUAAUAGCAGGAUAAUUCAAAACUGUAAAGAUACCAGUCAUGACGGGUGCUCCCUCUGGAAUAUCAGCCAUGGUGGUGAAGUUCAGCCUGCCCUGCCUCACUUGCACCUUCUGUCUCUUGCCUUGAUUCUGAUUAACAUUCUGCCCCUGCCUCUGCUGGUUCCUGGGGCAAUUCUUGGCAUAGUGUUCGGUGUUGCCACAUGUGAAGCACCUGUUGUCAUUUGCCUGGCGGUACUGCUGCUGCUGCUGAUUGCUCCUCUGAGCUGGGAACUGGGUGCGGUUGGGUGCCUGCUGCUGCUGCUGUGGUCGGAUCACCCAUCUUCCUUGCUGCUGCUGGGGUCCCCUGUUCUGAGUGUCGGACACAAUCCUGAAGCGCUGUGGCUGAGCUGAAGGUCCUGCCACAGGGGUCUUCCUCUUCUUCUCUGCCUGUCAAGCUGUAAUGCAGUCCUCUUGGGAGAUAGCCAUGUUGACCAACUCAUUGUAACUGUUGGCCCGGACGGUGUUGAGACGGUCACGGAGCAUAGUGCUGAGCCCCCUCCUGAACCUGUCUCUCUUCUUCUCAUCCGUAUCUGCGUGAUACCCAGCAUACUGGCACAAGUCAUUAAAGGCCUGGGCAUACUGCAACACUGUCCUGUUGCCCUGAGUGAGUGCCAAAAACUCAUUGAGCUUCCUGUCCAUAAUCCCGGCUGGUAUAUGGUGUCCCCUGAAAGCUGCCUUGAACUCCCUCCAUUCCACCUCUCGAUCCUCUGGCUGCAUGGCAAGAAAAUGGUCCCACCAAGUCCUUGCAGGUCCGCGAAGCUGCUGGGUGGCGAACCUGACUUUGGUGACCUCUGAGCAAGCUCCAUGGAGUAGUGGGAAUUUGGAUUCCACCACUCGCAACCACACAUCUGCAUCAAGUGGGUCCUCUGCCCUUGUGAACAAUGGAGGCUGGGUGCUGAGGAACUCCUGAUGGUAGCCGCCGCAGGGUGACGCUGAUGGUCUCCACCACCAUAAUGCUGAGGUGGUGGCUGACGCUGGGCCAGCUGUCUCAAGAUCUCAUUCUGCUGAGCCAUGAGCUCCUGCAUAGUGGGAGGCGGUGGCGGCGGUGGAGGAACACGCUCAUUCUGGCCACGACGCUGCCUCCCGGCCAUCUGAAAAACCACAUACUUAACACGUUAUUUCCAAGUUCAAGAUUUUAUCGCGGAGAAAAAGUUAAAAACAACAUGAUAGACUCCGACUUCAACAAAAGGAUUUUAAAAGGCAUAAAUUCUUCCUUCCAAAUUAAACUGAUGACAGCAUCCAUCAAACAAGCUUCCAAGAGAGUUUAGCACGAUUACAUCAAUUGUCCCAAAAUGACUCAACUCUAUCUAGCCUAGUACCCCAAGGGUGCAAAAGCUAAGCUAGCUACGAGGAGUUCGACUAUCCAACUUCUAAUCCUAUCCUGAACACCUAGUGAGCGAACGAAGCAACACUCGACUCGGGGAAAGGUGGUCUUCCCGAGCCAGCAGUGUCCACACUGGAGGCAGGCUCAUCCCCUCCCUCGAUGUCGAUGUCCUCGUUGGCCUCCAGGUCCUGGAUCUCCUGGUGAUGCAUAUCCAGGUGCUCGUUAGCCUCAGCAAGCUGCUGCUGAGUGUUAAUGAGCUGAUCCUCUAGAACCUCGAUGGUGUUCUCCCUGGUGCCCACUAGCUCCUCCAACUCUUGGAUAUCAGUGGAUAGCUGCUCCACCUGCAAGUCCUUCUCCACCAUUUCUUGGGACAAGUCAACCACGAGUUCCUCUCUGUUGUCCAACGUAAUCUUGGUUGCCUCCAGCAGUGCCAUCAGAUGGGACAUCGCCUCACCACGCAUCACCUGCAGACGGUACAGAGCAUUCAUGCACCGUACGGUCAAGUGCGCGGUCUGUCCUGGGUAGAUGGCCCAGAUAUCCUUGGCAUGCUCCACCCGAUCCUUCCACAUUGGGUCGUCCUCCCUCUCAGCGGGGAACAAGCCAAUGGGGUGGGUAGCCAGCUCCAAAGGAUGGAAUCCGCAGAAAGUAGUCAAUCCAUGCAGCGCGAUCGCCUCGAUCGUGUCCUCCGCUCGGUAUCCGAAAGACUCGGAGUCCAAAGAGCGCCAGCCUGGCUGCAGGGGAUGAGGCUCCAAGGUCAUUCUCACCCUACAGCGGGGCACUCGGUGCUUCUCGAACUGCUGCACCGCGUACUGAGGGGGUGUCGCGUAUCCGGCCCCCUGAAGUACCUCCCACAAAAUGCGGUGAAAGCCCUCUCGUGCAAGCCCGUCAGUGUGGGACAGUGCAUUUCCGUCAUUGGAGGAUCCGUGGGAAGUCAUCUGUGUACGGUUAAGCGUAAGUAAAAGAAAAAGAAUUACAAAAAGAACAAGGAAAAAUAAAACUCAGCUCCUUUCUCUGGUUAAAAUAAAAUGGUACUGGGGGCCUAGUUGGUUGUUAUCUUGUCUUUAAGUCCUUACUUAGUUAUCCAUUUGCUUAAUUAAGAAUGCAUGCAUGCUCGUCCUGAACGACCUCACAACAAGAUAAAAGGAAUAGGGAAGAACUCCCAUCCUGCAAAAAUGGCCUGUAGGGCCUAGUUACUUAGCCACCUAGCUACCCUUCUAUUACCCUAAGGCUUCACGUCCUAGGUCUAUCCUGCUCGUCCUACUAUCUAUCCAACAUUGUUUGUAUCAAGUUUUACUUGGAAAAAUGAUGGUAUUUACAUUUUAUUGAUUCCUCUGUGGUGGUACAAGCUCCGAUACCAGCUGUGGCGGAACUGCCCGAAUUAUUCCAACUUAAGUGCCUAAGCCCCGCCUUAGAGGCUAGACCACACUUAAAUGGGAAUAACCCGUCAAUCCCUCGGAUCUAGUCCGACACGGCCACUGACAGGAUCAAGUACCACAAUCUCACUUGAAGGUGAGUCACAGAGCAAAUACAAUAAAGCAUAAAACCAUGCAGGUAAGAGUAUUAAAAUUAUUACAUCACCAUCGGAGUUUUGCAAAAGUAACCAUCAUUGUUCGAAGUGCAGCGGAAAUAAACUAACGGUAACUAAAUAGAGAGAUGGGGAAGCCUGUCCCAUCACUCCUCAUGCUCCUCCUCAGCCGAGGCAGGGUCCCACUCGACAGUCCAACCCGGUGGCAAGAUGGACGGCCAAGUCACUCCAGCAACCAUUUCCUCCAGAGAACCUGUAAAAAUUAUGCCACAAGCAAGGCUGAGUAUACUAAUACUCAGCUAGUCUUACCCGGUGUGAGGAGUCUACUCCUCUACCUCUAGACAUGCAGCUGUUUGGCUGUGGGGUUUGGUUGCCAAAAGCACUAGCUGAGUUUCUAAAUCAAGUUUUUAACUUUGUCAAAAUUAAGUGUGACUCUCUUAAGGCUAAAGAUGUACUAUCUAUUCAUACAUAGUAGCAAACAUUUUUAGCAAUCAACAUCUUGUAUCAUCUCAGCACAAUUCCACUUGUUACUCAAUGUAGCAGCAUGGAUCAAGCAGUCUCAUUAGCUGCGAGAAGCAGACGAUUCGAAUCGAGUUUUUAAACCUUGCAAGGUAAACCUAAACACACGACAUGUAGGGGCACUCCGUCCCCACACACAUCAACCGUCCCCAUCGAUUCCCUGGCAACAGAUCAGGGCUCACCGCCUUGGCGUACAAUGCCUCACUGACCCCGACUGCCGUCGUGCAGUGACCGCACUUGUACCCACCAUAACCGGAAUGGGAGACCACGUCUCAGGUCGCGUGAGGGGAUAUGUCUGCGGGCAGGUUCACUCAGGUACUAGACUUACCGAUUUACCAUAUUUCUCGGUAUGUGUUUAGUACGUUCAAACGCUUGACUCACGGUACCACACCUUAAUCCUUAUUCAAAUUUUUAUCCCGUGGACAACCAAUCCCCAUGGAUUGUUGUCCACAAACCAGCAUCAUUCUGAUAAGAAAGUGGAUACAAUCAAUUUCCUGACCUCGCGCGAGUGCUAGAAAAAUCACUCGACUUCUACCGAGAUCCUACUUAAAUAAGCAGCUACUCGACCUAGCAUACUAGUAUUCAUUUCAACAGGAUUCCUAAGAUCAUGCAACUAGGGUUUCAAACAAUUCCUACACCUAAGUGCACAAUCAAUCCUACAAUCAUUAAGUGAAGUAAAAUAGCAUAAUUAACAGGUUAUGCAUAAAACCGGGGCUUGCCUUCCAAAGCAGUGGCAGGCAGGUCCUCUGGUGCAGACUCUGGUGCUGGAUCCGGGGCUACCUCCUGAGCAGCUCCUUGCUCCGGCACGAGGACGUACUCUCCGUCAGCAAGGUUACAGUCUAUCGAAUGCAAUGAACAUGUAUGUCAUGAUUAUGCAGGAUUCAAUAACAUUAUGCUAAAAAGAAACUAAGUCAAGAAGUAACUUAGGGUUUCUUGGUUAUGUGGGGCUUCUAGUGGGUUAGACUUAUCACCUUUAGGCUUAUGUUUUUGUUGAGGAUAAACAUAGGGAAUUUGUAUUGCUCUUGUAUCCUUCAGUGGAUAAGAUAUAAAGGAUUUUAGGAUGGCACCAUUUUUCUAUUACCCACUUUUCCCUUUCUUUUAUUUUCUACUUAUGGUUUCUAGGGUAGGUUUGAACUAUGAUAGGGGUUUAAUAUUUUCCAAAAAUUCUGUAAAAAGUACAGUGGGUUGCCAUUUGCUAUUCUAGCUUGUUUUAAGAAUUUGAGGCUUAAAGUACAAAGGCUAGGCUUUAAACAAAAAUAACAAGAGUUAUGCAAAAUGGGCCACUUUACACUACAUCUCUUAGUUAGGGGUGGGUUCUGUCCUAAAGGUUAUUUUUGCUGGCAUCCAAUAGUAAUAAUAGGCUUUUGUGCUAAAAAUCACAGAAAACUAAGGGGUGGUUAGUUAGUUAUGAUUUUCUUAAGUUUAAUGUCAAAAAGGCACUUUCUACUACAUUAUUAUUUGAAAAAUGUCAAACAGCAGAUUUCAUAUUUUUCCUAAGUUCUCAUUAAUAAAAAAUUAGUUAUCCCAAGGGUGGGGGUGUUUUUACCUUGGGGUUAUUUUUGUAGGGUUUUUCUAAGUUUGCCUUAUUUUAUUAAAAUAAAAGGUAUCCUACUUAUUUUAUACUAAACCAGGGUAUGAUAGAUUUUUCUAGUGAACUAUAUUGAAUAAGUAUCCCAACAAAAAUAGAGGUGAUCUCUGGUUUAUUAUUUAUACCCCCUUUUCUAUUUUCCUUAAUCCUAAGCAUAUUGCAUAAUAAGGGGUAAAGACUAACUUAUUGGGGUGGACAGAGAGGUUUAACAUUUUUAAACAGGUCAGUAGGUAGAUAUAAACUUCUCCAAAUUUUUCUAACCCUAGUCAAAUAGCACAACUAUUUUUCUUUCUAUUAUUGAGCUUUUGGCUAAAACUAUCAUUAAAUCAGAACUUUAAAGUUUUCUAUAGUACCAAGGGGUUUUAUAUUUUUCUUAAGUAGGUUACAUUAAUUAAAGUCUGGCAAAAUUGGUUUGACCAAAUUUGGAUGAACUAAACUGAAGUUAUGAGUUUUUAAAGUUUCUGUUCAAAUUAAAAACAGACUUAAUAAAGGUUUUCUGGAAAAACAGUUUACACCGAGGUCCCUGGGUUUAAACUAAAUCAACCUUCGCAAAUCUACCCUUGCACCACUAUUCCCCUGUGUCUCUGACAUUUCACAAAACCCCCUGACCUUCUCUCCCUCUCACCCGCAGUCCUUCCCACAAUGUAAACAGUAACCGCGAGAAAGAAAAGGGUGGCGCGGCUUACCGGCGGCGAGGGAGGUCCGGCGAAGGGUGGGGUUGGCUCGGGGAGACUCUGGCGGUCACAUCGAGGUACGGCUUGACGUCGGGGAUGGCCGGAAUCGCUCGGUCCACACGCGCAGGCGGGUGUUCUCGUCGGCGGCGAGUGUACCGGCCAAACCAUGGCGAACUGGUUCAAUCCAAGGGCACGGUGAGCUUCACGGGGUAACAUAGUGACCGUGUGCACAAGGAAUCGAAGGAUGGUUGAGUGGAUUACCCGGUCCACGUACUCCGGCGGGGUUGAGAGCUCCGGCGAGCGUGGACUGGCCUCUCCGGCGAAGCAAACUCCGAUUCCCCGCUCAGGGAGCUUCGCGGAGGUGUGCACAGUCUUCUCCGAGGGCUGGACGGGGUUGGGAAUGGCUCUAUUGGCCGGUCUACGGUGGCAGAGGGAUUGGGCGGCCGCGGACACGCUGCGCACGGGCAAACGGCGGCGAGCUAAACUCCGGUGAGGUUUGAGGGUGCACGGAAGAGUGCAGUCGAAGCCUAGGAGGGCUUUAUAGGCGCGGGCGCGGGCCAUGGCGCUGGUUUGGCUCGGGCGCGGCGCUGGGCAUGCGGGGGCGCGCGCGAGCGUGCUCUGGCGCGGGCAGGAAGCGUCGAACACGUGGAGGUGUGUUUCUUCCAUUGUUCAAACGUCUGCAGAGAUUGCAAACGUGCGAAUCUUGCCAUGAAUCCGGCGCAGACCUCUUCCUGGCACCUAGGGCUAUCUCUCAUGUGUGAGUUCCAAUGGAGGAUACGCCCUAGAUCAGGAGAUAGACGGGCGCCAAAUCUGGCUUGUCUCACUGCCCACCUCGCGACAAAACUGAUGCCAAUACCUGUCAAACGUCAAAGUCUCGGUUUCCACUUUUUCCAGGAGGUGCCUUAGGUGGUAUGCCACACUUUUGGUAUAGAACCUAAGUGGUUUUGGUGCCAUCUUCAAAGUGAACACGGUUGAUCUUUGGAUUAGGGUUAAAAAUUGGACUUAGAGAGAAAUAGAGAGCUCUAGCUCUCUGUCCACUUGGAGAUUUGAUUUAGGGUUUUUCCAGGGGUCUUUUUGCAAUCUUACCCUCCCCUAAUUGAUGGUUAUAAGGUUAGUUAGGGCUUUGCUAAAGAUCACUCAUGUUUUGCAUCUUGCUUACUCUCUUUUUCCCCCCUUAACCAGGGUUUGGGAGAUAGGGUUUAGGAGGGCCUAGGGUUCUUUCCCCCCUCUUAUCCAAGGGAAUAAGUGCACAAGGGUUUGAUUAAUACUUCUUAGGCCAUUAACAACUUGAUUAACACAAUACCUCCAAGGUUCUUAUAUGUUCCCUUAAGUCUCUACCACAUGUGAUCACAGCCUUUAGUGCCAAGGUGGGCUCUAGCCAAGGUAACACCUGGGGUGUUACAGUCUUCGCAUGCCUGCGCACCGAUUUGUGGGAGAAGUCCUGCGCAGAUUCAAUGUCUAGAUCCAUCAGCUGACUCUGAAUGCCAUGGUGGCUCUGUCGAAGUAUGUCUGGGCGACGACUUCGUACGGCGGACAGCCAUCGGUCGAAGUCUUCGUGAAGUAUUAUUGCCUGCAUUGGCAGAAAAGGAUGGUUGGAAAUAAGGUGGCCCAGUUUGGGUCCUGUACAUUUACGCCGAAGACCGACAAGACCUCGAUGGAGGUAGUUGAGUUUAUUCCUUGCGCCCGUAAUAAAUGGGGCAACUGGCAUGAGUUUUGGUUCUACGUUGCGGAGGACAUAGUCGAAGACCAUCCGGGGCUCCCCGUGUCCGAGAUGUGCUCACAUUAUUACUCAGCAUACCCGCAGUUUGAAGUGGCGGAGGAGGAUGCAAGAAAAGGGGCCCUUCGGUGCGCGGCCGGCCUGAGCAGCGGGCACGAUUUGGUUGAGGAGUUUGUGGCGUACGGGGUGUGGCCUUUGGCGCAUGGCUGGGCGCUGGGCGAAGUAUGCCCUCGCCAGAUGCCUUCCCGUGGUGGGAAGCUGGUGCGAAGUCCCGCCUUUGCACUGGAUCUGCAUAGCCGCGAUCCGGCCGCCUUUGUGCGUGAGGCGGAGGAUGGGGCGGUGCGGAUCGUUGGUCGGUACGUGCCGAAGACAGAGGGCCAGCGUAGCUGGGAUAUACGCGGGUCUAAUGACCGCUUGAACAGGGUCUUCGAGUUGAACCGUCUGUCGUAUGGCGGUUAUCCCGGGCACGACGAUGUGGAUCGUCGCGGGAAGAAGCCGGCGGUAGAGACUGGAGAUGACCCCGCGCCGGCGGCCGCCCCAUCCUCUAAGAAGAGGAAGCUAGGUAUUGCAAUGGGAGGACUGGGGGUUUCCGAUGGUUUUGCUAGGGAAUUGAUGAGGACAUGCGCGACCCCAGGGGGAAGGUUGUCUUUGCCCGAGCUCAGGGAGUCUUCGGCGCGGAUGCUGAGGGUUACCGGGGGUUGGUGGCCGAAGAAUGUUCCUAUCCCCCGCGCGGCCGGCGAAGACUUUUUUUACAUCUCGCAUGGUUCGUGAUUGGAGAGUGUUUCCUUACGGGCGGAAUAUUGCUGCUGUUGUGUCGGCAGUGAUGGACAAGGAUCGCCAGGGAGCCGCGUAGAAGCGCCAGGCGCUCGUCAGGCUCCAUGAGGCUAGGCCGAAGAAGCCGCGGGGGACUGCGAAGGCUGCUGCCCCCGGCGGAAGCCAGCCGCCGUUGGCGGCAAAGUCGGCUGCCCCUGGGUCCAGCAGGGUGCCGGAGGCUGCGAAGGCUGCUGCCGCCGGUGGUACCAAGUCUGUCCCGGCGGGAGCCGUGAAGGCUCGAGAGUUGCCGCUGCCGGGCAAGCGUGUGGCCGACUCGCCACCGAUAUUAGUGUGGAAGAUUAUCUUGUUGGUAAGUUGUUGGCUCGAUUUUUUUUAAUCUGUUGAUACAUCGCAGGGACGGGCGAAGGCCAACUUGUUGUUGUUCCACCCGCCGUGACGACCGCGGCGGCUGCCGUUGUGCCCAGGGCGAAGGGUAGUGCUAUUAGCGCCGGUGGCGAGAUUCCGGCACUCGCUGCCGUCAGGGACGAGGCGGGCGCUGUGUCCCGCCGGCUGAAGGAGGCAUUAAGUCAGGUACGUUGAGCUAGACUUCGGUUUUUACCGGCUUCGUUGGGGCUAUGGUCUUAUGUGUGUCUUGUAGGCGGCUGACUUCGCAGACCGCGCGGCGUCGGGGGCCCUUACGGCAGUUGUGUCUGCCGAAGUCGAGAGACUUCGGACGCAACAUGCUGACGCCGUCCGUGAAAAGUCGGCCGCCGACAGCAAGUGCUGCAAGCUGGCGGAUAAGGUGGCCGCACUGGAGGGUGAGAAGACUGACCUCCGGUGCCAACUGGCGGAGGAGAGGAAGGAGGCUAAUGAGGCCCUCGCCAAGGCGCAGUCUGCGCAAGCGGAGGCCAAUUUGGCGCGGGCGGAGGGCAGUCUUGCCAGAUAGCACGCCGAGGAAUUGGAGGAGCGGCUCAACGCUCUGCAGACCCGUGUGGAGAGGGCCGAGGCUUCGACGCGCUCGGAGGUUGAGCGGACGCACACACAUCUUAUGGACUCAUACCAUGAGCUGGGCGCGCGGACCGCUGACUUCGAAGUGCCAGACCGAGAGCCCGGUCUUCGCUGCCUCGAGUGGCUGCAGGAGGAGUUGCUGGCUCUCCCCGCCAUCGUAGAGGGGUUUAUGUCCUAUGCCUCCCUGAUCACCUGCGAGGGGGCGAUGAACGCGCUCUCCCGCGAAGGAUGCCGGCACUAUGAGUUCUUCGACCAAGCUGAUGAGGAUUUCGAGCGCGAUAUCUACAAGGUUGAGGACCCUGUGAUGAAGGAAUCUGUGGGAGCCCUCUACGACCGGAUGUGGGGCCCUCACGGUCGGGAGGUGGUCAGGGAGCGGACCGAGACGGCGAGGGGUCAGGUAAUGUUUGACUUUUGUUCGGUGUUUGUUGAAUGUGGGUUAUAUGUGGGUUUGCUGAAUCUGUGUGCUGUGUCUCAGGCGGCGCGUGGCGAGAAGGUGGAGGACUUCGGGGCUUUGAACAGCGCGCAGCCUAACUCGGAGUCGAACCCGGUGGCGGCUGAGUCCGAGGCCGCCCCGGAGUCGCCCCCGAAAACCGUCGAAGGCGUUCCUGAUGCCCCCGCAGCCACUGCGGCCGACGGAGGCCCGUCGCCAACUGCCGCGCCGAGGGCUGAGGAUCCUGUGAAGAUGGCAGCGGAGCCGGCAGCGGAGGAUCCCACGACGGCUGGGUCUUCGCAGGUGGCUUAGUGGGUUUGGGUAGUUAGGGAAUUUUGGAUAUGUUGCUGAACCUUGGUUGCUGCGCAGGUUCAAGAUUUUGGGCCUGCGCACGCAACCGCUACUUCUAAUUUUUUGGCGGCUUCGACCGUGGAUGAUGGGAAUAAAUCGGAUGAGUCUGCAUCUAAGUUGUCUUAUUUUGGUGACUCUGGGAGCUCGGUUGAGUGGACUGAAGAGUCGUCGGAUGAGGACUUGGACUACUUUGCGGCCUUGGAUGUGGCAGCGGCGGAGGCUUCGCCGCAUGCUGCGGGUGCUGAAGUUGUGUCUGGUCCGAGCGCUGGGUGUAGGCGGCGAAGGGCGGUUGCGAAGCGUAGAGUGAGUGAGGCGGACGACGGUCGGCUUCGUGUGAGUAGGGCUGGCAGGCGGGAACUGUUGUCCUUGCCGGCCGCUGUGAGUGCGGGUGAGGGUGAGCUGCGAAGUCUUUUUGCGGGUGAGGAGCUGAGGAUAAUGCUAUUUAACUAUAGGGAGAUGGGAAUUAUUCCGAAGGUUGAGCCGAUGUAAAGUGUGAUGCCCUCGCUUGCACAUAUGUAAUAGCUUGUAUGAUGAGGUUGUGUGCCUUCGCCCAUUUGGCUAUGCUCACGAAGGGGUUGCGAACUUGGUCUGGUGUAUUUGUUAUGUUGGUCUGGUGCGCAUGUAGUUGGUCUUUGCGCGGACAGUUUGGUGUAGUCUUUUUUGCACUUGUUAAGCUUGGUCCGGCUGCACCCUUAGGCGACUGUUGCACGGAUAGUCUUCGCGAAAGACUUCGAUUUUUCGCACUUGUUGUGCUAGUCCGGCUGCACCCUUAGGCGACUUUUGCGCGGAUAGUCUUCGCGAAAGACUUCGAUUUUUCGCACUUGUUGUGCUCGUCCGGCUGCACCCUUAGGCGACUUUUGCGCGGAUAGUCUUCACGAAAGACUUCGAUUUUUCGCACUUGUUGUGCUAGUCCGGCUGCACCCUUAGGCGACUUUUGCAUGGAUAGUCUUCGCGAAAGACUUCGAUUUUUCGCACUUGUUGUGCUAGUCCGGUUGCACCCUUAGGCGACUUUUGCACGGAUAGUCUUCGCGAAAGACUUCGAUUUUCGCACUUGUUGUGCUAGUCCGGCUGCACCCUUAGGCGACUUUUGCACGGAUAGUCUUCCCGAAAGACUUCGAUUUUUCGCACUUGUUGUGCUAGUCCGGCUGCACCCUUAGGCGACUUUUGCGCGGAUUUGUCGCAUGCGAGGGUAGCUAGCGCUGGGCCUCGCGGUGACUUUGUAUUGGUCGAAUGUCGAAGACCGUCGGCGCGGUCUUUUUUCGACGUAGAUUUUUGCGGGGGAUUUUUCACUUGUAUAUUACAUGACUCCGCCUUGUUAAAAACCUCACCCCCGGGAGGAAAAGAGUGCGGGCCAGAAUAAAAUUUUUUUUGUGAAUUACAAGGGCGAACCGGCCCUGAUGAAUUAAACAAAAAAUUGCGGAGAUUAUCGAUGUUCCAGGAGUGCUCCAAGUCUUCGCCGUUUGGCGUUGCGAGCCUGUAUGCGCUUGGGGAGGCCUUUGUCUUGACAAUGAAAGGGCCCUCCCACUUGGGCUCCAGCUUGCCCCUGGACUCUGUCCAGCUGUUCGGACGAGUACGAGGUCCCCUUCGCUGAAUUCCCUCGGGAUGACUGCGUGGUCGCGCCAUGCUUUUGUCUGGGCUUGGUAUUUGUUUAGAGCCUGUAGAGCGAAGACUCGGUCUCCAUCGAUGAGAUCCUUCAAAGUGGGUUCGUCCACGUCGGGGACAGCUGACGAAACUGUUCGCGGGGACCCAUGUUUUAUUUCUUGUGGGGUCAUGGCCUCCGAUCCAUAUAGAAGGCGGAAAGGGGGGAACUCAGUCGCCCUGCAUUCAGUUGUGUUUAGCGCCCAGACCGCCUCAGGUAACAAAUCGGCCCACCUGCCCUUUUUUCGUCGAGGAGCAUCUUUUUGACAGCUGUGAAAAUUUUUCCGUUGGCACGUUCCACAACUCCGUUGGACUGUGGGUGAUAUACUGAGGCGAAGGCGAGCUUUGUGCCGACGGAAAAGCAAAAAUCCUUGAAGUCUUGGCUGUCAAACUGCUUGCCGUUGUCAACUGUUAGUUCAGACGGUACUCCGAAGCGGCAAACAAUGUUUUGCCAAAAGAAUUUCUGUGCAGCCUUUGAUGUUAUUGUGGAAACAGCCCCCGCUUCGAUCCAUUUGGUAAAGUACUCGACAGCGACGAAGGUGAACUUGAGGUUCCCCUGAGCCGUGGGCAGGGGCCCGACGAUGUCCAGGCCCCAGCGCUGGAGAGGCCAUGUGUGGGCGAUCAGCUUUGUGAAUUGCGAGGGGCUGCCUGAUCGAGGAGAAAACUUCUGGCAGGCUUCGCAGGACCUUGUGACCCGAUUUGCGGCGCAAAUCAUUGCGGUCCAGUAGAAACCUUGGCGGAUCACCUUUGCGGCUAGGGCCCUUUGCCCUACGUGAGAGCCACAGGUACCACUGUGGACUUCGCGCAGGAUUUGGACGCCUUUGGUCUCGGUGACACAUUUAAGCAUUGGCUGACUGACCCCCUUCUUGUAGAGUUGGCCCUCAAUCAGUGCGAAGUCCCGGCUUCGAUGUUUGAGGUGCUUGGCCUCGUUGAUGUCAGUUGGGUGGUAGUACCCCUGUAGGAACAGGGUUAUUGGUGCCCGCCAGUCUUCGGUCAUAAUAAGGUUGACUAUGCGGUGGCCCUCGCUGUCAUUGGUUAUUUGGAGCCCUUCGGGGCUCCGGACGGCUGGCGUGCCGAUAACAUGGUAGAACACAUUGGAGGGCAGGGACUCGCCUCUAGCGGCAGCCUUGGCCAAUGCGUCGGCUUCUUCAUUCUUGGCCCGGUCCACAUGCUGCAAGGUGAAUCCCUUGAAUUGUCUCUCGAGACUUCGGAUGGCCGCGAGGUAUUGCAUAAGCGCGGGUCCUUUGCUGCAUAGUCUUUCUCGACUUGGCCGGCAACUACCUUGGAGUCUGUUCUGAUAAUGCAGGUGGUGACACCAAGGGCCCUCAGCUUGCGGAGGCCGAGGAUGACUGCUUCGUACUCUGCUAUGUUGUUUGUGCAUCUGUCAGAUUCCAGAGCGAAGCUGAGGCAUGCCGCGUAUCUGUGCUUGACCCCAGCAGGUGAGGUGAUGACUGCAGCGGCGCCUGCCCCCGCCGUCGCAGUGGAUCGUCCAAACCUUCUCUGUGGAUGGGUCCGGCUGUGUUAUUGGCCCAGUCCAGUCGACGAUGAAGUCUGCCAGGACUUGUGACUUGAUGGCUGUCCUGGGCUCGAAGUUGAUGUGGUAGCCGGAGAGUUCGGCCGCCCACUUGGCAAUCAUGACCGAUGCCUCCGGGUUUCUGAACAAUUCGCCUAGUCCCCUGUCUGAGGUGACUCGGACCUUGAAUGCUUCAAAAUAAUGGCGCAAUUUGCGCGAAGACAUAACAACUGCAUAGGCAAUCUUCUCCAGUUCUGUCAUGUUACAUUUGGAUGGUGUUAGCACUUCGGAGACGUAAUAGACUGGGCACUGCCUGAUCACGCCCUCAACUGUCUGCUCCUGCACCAGUGCCGCGCUGACCGCAUGUGGCGAAGCCGCAACAUAGAGCAACAGGGGUAGCGAAGAGUCGGGGCUUGUGAGGACUGCCAACUCCGUCAUGUACUGUUUUAAUGAGGCGAAGGCCGCUGCCUGCUCUGGUCCCCAAGCGAAGUCUUUUGCGCCACGGAGAGUUUUGAGGAAGGGGAGACUUCGCUCAGCGGAUUUGGAGAUGAAUCUGUUGAGGGUGGCCAACCUGCCCGUCAGGCGCUGGACGUCUCUGGCGGACUGCGGAGGCGUCAUGUUGAUGAUGGCCUGAAUUUUGGUUGGGUUGGCCUCGAUGCCUCGGUGUGAUACCAGGUAGCCCAGUAUUUUCCCCUGGCGAACGCCAAAAACACACUUUUCGGGGUUCAGGCGAAGUCGUGCGUCCCGCAUGUUCGCGAAUGUCUCGACGAGGUCAGCAAGAUGGUCCUCCUUGCUCCUGCUGGCGACGACGAUGUCGUCCACAUAUGUGAAUAUAUUUCUGCCGACUUGCCCCUCGAGCACUGUUUUGGUAAGCCGGGAGAAGGUGGACCCGGCGUUCUUGAGUCCUUCCGGCAUUCUGAUGAAGCAAUAUGUGUCGAAGGGUGUUAUAAAGCUGGUGCUAGCCUUGUCUUCCUCCUUCAUAUAUAUUUGAUGGUAACUGGAGAAGCAGUCGAGGAGUGACAUGACUUCGCAUCCGGCCGCGUUAUCGACUAUUUUGUCGAUCCGAGGUAGCGGGAAGUUGUCCUUUGUGCAGGCCUUGUUGAGACUGGUGAAGUUGAUGCACAUGCGCCACUUGCCGCUCUUUUUCUGCACCAUCACAACGUUGGAGAGCCACAUGGGGUAAGCCACUGGCUCGAUAAAAUUGGCUUCCAGGAGGCGAUGUACCUCGGCCUUGGCGGAUUCUGUUUUCUCGUCGGACAUUUUGCGGAGCCGCUGUUUUUUCGGUCUCACCGAAGGGUCGAUUCCCAAGCUGUGCUCAAUUAUGGAUCGGCUGACCCCGACCAGGUCGAGGGCUGACCAGGCGAAGACAUCUUUGUUCUUGGACAAGUAGCAGAGGAGUUUCUCCUCUUCAUGCGAAGUGAGGUCUUCGCUGAUGGUGACUGUCUGCUUGGGCGUGGCCUGGUCUAGGGGAAUAGUCUUGGUCCCGUCGUUGCUCUGCAGCUGUGCCUUGUCGUGUUCUUUGUCGGUUGGGCUGACGGACGCGGGGACCUCGCGCUGGGCCGUGAGGCAAUGCACAUUUCUUUGCCCAGUGACGAAGUCCCGCUCUAUGUUGCGUGCAGUCUGCUAAUUGCGGUAGACCGUGAUGGCGCCUAACGGACCUGGUAUCUUCAUGCAUAGGUACAGUCCAUGAAUGGCUGCCUCAAACUUGUUGAUAGAGCCCCGGCCCAUGAUGGCAUUGUACGGAUACACCAUAUCAACGAUAUCAAAGGUUAUUUGCUCACUUCGGGCAUUGGGUGCUACACCGAAGGAGAGAGGCAGUUCUAUUUUGGAACUUGCUCUCUGAUGCAAGGGAAUCCAACGGGGGUGUGUAGUGACGUAAACAGGGUUCUCGCACGAGAUGGCAAUAGCUCUGUUGAUCUAGCCUCUCAAGGGCACUGUGCGGGGGUAUUUAUAGGUAUCUGAGUACCCAACGUCCUGCGUUAAGGACGCAUGUGCCCUCAGACACCUAGGUUAUCCCCGGAAUAUUCCCAUAAAGCGGGGUUACAGACCGUAAUUACAGGGAUGCCUUUACAAAUUAGGCCCGUAAUGCGCAGCGGCCACGCAGGGCCUGUUACAAUGGGCCGGAGCGCACGUGGGCCUCCAUGCUGGACGAGGUCACAAGAUAAGACAACCUCGUCGCAGGUCUUCGUCUGGUGACGUAUGGGACGAAGGGUGAGCCUUCCCGUUGUCUUAUCUCCGUUGGUCCAGCGAUUACGGCGAAGGCAUCGAGCGAAGGGUGGCGUCUUCGCCUUCGCCCCAACAAACAUGAUUAGUCACAUGUCUCAAAAGUAGAUGGCAAAUCACACAAGGAGAUCAACUCUUAUAUAAGCUUUAUAAUUUGGGUAUUAAAAAUCCUACCCACCUUAUAAAGAAACUCAUCCUCGAGAUUUAGGAAGGACUAGGAAAGAGGUGGGGAAAGUCUAUGCGUAGUUCUUCUCUUUCCCAUGUAGCCUCGUCUUCUCCAUGAUGACUCUUACACUUUGCACAUCUUUAUUACUUUACUCCUUGUGACACGAGUCAAGGUAUCGAGAAUCUUGAUAGGAUACUUGGUAUAAGUCAGAUCAUCUUGAACACUAAGAUCCUCCAUAGGUAGCUGCUCUUCGGGUACCCUGAGACACUUCUUCAGUUGAGACACAUGGAAGACAUCGUGUACAUCCGCAAGAUGAUCAGGUAGUUCCAGUUGAUAGGCAACCUCUCCCACUCGCUUUAGGAUUAAGAAGGGUCCAAUGAAGCGAGGGGACAACUUUCCUUUGACUUUAAAUCUUCGCAUACCCUGGAGUGGUGACACCUUCAAAUAUACAUGAUCACCCUCCUUGAACUCUAGUAGUCUUCUCCAUGUAUCAGCAUAGCUUUUCUGCCUUGAUUACGCAGUUCUCAAAUUCUCCCUUAUUUGAUGGACUUGUUCUUCUGCCUCUUGUAUAAUUUCACGCCCAAAGAACUACCUUUCACCAGUUUGAUCCCAAUACAGUGGAGUCCUGCACUUUCUGCCAUACAAAGCCUCAAACAGCGACAUCUUCAAACUGGCCUGGUAGCUAUUAUUGUAAGAGAACUCCGCAUACGGUAAAUUCUUAUCCCAAUUACCACCAUGUUUAAGAGCAUAAGCUCUUAACAUAUCUUCCAAUACUUGGUUGGUUCUCUCGGUCUGCCCAUCAGUUUGAGGAUGGUAGGCUGAACUAAAAUUCAAUCUUGUAUCCAAGCACUCGUGCAACUUCUUCCAAUACAGAGAAGUAAACUAUGAUCCCCGGUCUGACACAAUCUUCUUAGGCACACCAUGUAAGCAUACAAAUUGUGAUCCUCGGUCUUCACUAGAAUAAAGUGGGCUACUUUAGUUAGCCGCUCCACAAUCACCCAUAUUGAGUCAUACCCAACAGAUGUGCGGGGUAAUCCCGCAAUGAAGUCCAUGCCAAUCUCUUCCCAUUUCCACUAAGGUAUCUUAAGUGGGUGCAGUAAACCAGCAGGUCUUUGAUGUUCUGCUUUCACCCUCUGGCAAACAUCACAUAGUGCAACAUGUGAAGCAACAUCCUUCUUUAGUCCAUACCACCAAUACUUUUGCUUCAAGUCCUGGUACAUCUUAGUACUACCAGGGUGGAUGGAAUAAACUGAGUCAUGUGCCUCCUUCAAUAUGGUUUCACGAAGACUAUCGGUAUCAGGACCACAAAUCCGGUUCUUGAACCAUAUCGUACCCUGCUCAUCCUCCAUGAAAUCUAGGCCUCUACCUUCCGUUAUCAGAUCCUUUAUCUCCUGAAUUUUGGCAUCACCGAUCUGACCUUUACGGAUUUCCUGCUCUAAGGUAGCUUCCACUUCUAUGGUAAUUCCUUCAGUAUGAGCAACUAUUCCUAGAUUGAGCCUCUCAAAAUCUUCUGCUAACUCAUCGGGUAACUAGGUGACAAUAGCUGCAUGGACCUGCCCCUUCUGACUCAAAGCAUCCGCAACCAGAUUCGCCUUGCCCGGAUGAUAGUGAAUGUCCAGGUCAUAAUCCUUGAUGAGCUCCAACUAUCGGCGUUGCCUAAGGUUGAGAUCCUUUUGAGUGAAGAUGUAUUUUAAGCUCUUGUGAUCGGUGUAGACUCGGCACUUGGUUCCCAUACUAUAGUGUCUCCAAUAUUGAGAACAUGCACAACGGCUGCCAGUUCUAAGUCAUGAGUGGGGUAAUUCAACUCAUGUUUCCGCAACUGGCGAGACGCGUAGGCAAUGAUGUGUCCUUCUUGCAUAAGCACACAUCCCAGGCCUUGGCGACUUGCAUCACAAUUUAUAUCAAAAUUCUUCUAUAGAUCUGGCAUAAUCAGCACUGGGGCUACCAUCAACUUAGAUCUCAAAUGGUCGAAACUCUCUUGGCAUUCCUCAGUCCACUUAAACUCCUUGCCCUUCUCUAACAAUGAGGUCAUAGGCUUAGCAAUCUUGGAGAACCCUUGAAUGAAUCGCCGGUAAUAUCCUGCGAGUCCGAAGAAACUCUGGAUCUCCGAGACUGUGCUUGGUAUCUUCCAAUCAACUAUCGCUGUUACUUUAGCCCAAGAAAAUGUACUUCAUGAAGCCAGAAAUCACACUUAGUAAAUUUGGCAUAAAGCUGACUAUCCCAUAACUUUUGUAGCACCAUCCGCAAAUGCUUCUCAUGCUCACUAUCAUUCUUGGAAUAAAUAAGAAUGUCGACGAUGAAUACCAUGACGAAUUUAUCGAGAUACUCCAUGAACACCUUAAUCAUCAUAUUCAUAAAAUAAGCUGGUGCAUUGGUUAAGCCAAAUGACAUGACUGUGAAUUCAUAUAGACCAUAUUGGGUAGAAAAAGUCGUCUUGGGAAUUUAGAUGGCCUAAUCUUCAUUUGAUGGUAGCCCGACCUGAGGUCAAUCUUAGAGAACACCCUAGCACCUCUCAUCUGAUCAAAUAAGUCAUCAAUACGAGGUAACGGGUACUUGUUCUUAAUGGUGACAUCAUUAAGUGAUCUAUAGUCCACACACAUCCGUUGCGAACCAUCCUUAUUCUGUACAAACAGUACCGGUGCUCCCCAAGGUGAGGAACUCGGACGAAUGUACCCUGCCUCCUGCAACUCCGGUAACUACUUCUUGAGUUCUUGUAACUCUUCUACGGACAUUCGGUAGGGGCAUUUAGAAAUAGGAGUAGUCACAGGUAAGAGAUCAAUGACAAACUCAACUUCCCUCUCUGGUGGCAUCCCUGGUAACUCCUCCGGAAAGACAUCUGGAAAAUCCCUCACCACACGGAUGUUGUCUCCAACAAACUUCCCAUCUAUUAAGAAUGUCGCACGUCUGGUAGAGGUAGUUACUGCAAUUUCAACUUGAAAUCUUUCUCCUUUAGGGCUGGUGAGUUCUACAGUACCCCUACCACAUUUUAUAAUGGCCUUUGCCUUUCUUAACCAUGACAUACCAAGGAUCAGAUCUAUACUGCUUUCCUCUAAUACUAUAGGGGUAGCCCAGAAUUCUCUUCCCAUAAUUGGCAAUGUCAAUCUAUGUGUCAUAUAAUUUGCCUCAACAGGACCUUUAGGUGUAAUUACUAACAUUGUUGUUUUCAUAUUUUCAGUGGUAACUCAUUUGUGUUAGCAUAUCGAGCAGACAUGAAUGAAUGUGUAGCACCAGAAUCAAAUAAUAUUGUUGCAGGUAUUGCAUUAAUAUAAAACAUACCAAGUGCGAUGUCAGCUCCUUCAGUAGUAGCUUCAGCGCUGACCUGAUUAACCCUGGCAAUAGAGAAUCCCUUGUCAGGAGUCUGUUGCUUGUUCUGAGCUGGUGUACUGGAAUUCCCCACCAGACAAGAAUUAGCAUAUGCCCAACCUGACUGCACUUGAAGCAUGUAGGGUCCGUCUUCUGUCUUGUAGGCCUCGCCGGGGUGCCAGUGGGGGCAGCCUGACGAGUGUGGGGUGUCUAUGGAGUCCCCUAUGGAGCAUACUGAGUUGUACGUGGUCCUCCUCCUGGACGAGCUGGGGUACCCUGAGGCGGAACAUAGCGAGGACGAACACUGCUGCUACCCUACCCUAAGGCACUAGCCUUCCUCUUCAGAUCUCCUAGUUGAACACGCUUGUGUUCAAUAGCUAGAGCUUUAUCAAGCAGUCUUUGAAAUGAUGGAAAUGUGUGAGCAACCAGUGCGUACAGUAGUGACCCAUUGAGUCCUUCUAUGAAGUGCUCUUGCUUCCUUUCAUCAUCAGCCUCUUCAUUAGGAGCAUAUCUUGACAGCUGAAUGAAUUUGUCACGGUACUCGCUGACAGACAUGUUGCCUUGCUUCAAUGACAGAAACUCCUUCUUCUUGAUCUUCAUUAAUCCAGCAGAAAUGUGGUAGUUUCUGAACUGUGUGGUGAAUUCCGCCCAAGUAACAUAAGAAUCCCACCAGUCAGCAGCAGGACCAGUCAUACGACCUGAAGCAUAGAGAACCUUCUCUCGGUCAGAGCAUUGGGCAAUGUUGAGCAUCUUCUCUACUGACUUCAACCAAUCAUCAGCAUGUAUUGGAUCUGGCGAGCUGGCGAAGGUAGGUGGCUUGUGGCUCAUGAAUUCCCGGUGCUUGUCUCGGGGUGGAAGUGUGGUGGUGGUGGUGGUGGCAGUGGUGCUUGCUGCUGUUGCACCCUCUUCUCCUGGCGCAUCUCCUCUCUCCUGGCACAUCUCUUGGCGUUCCCGCCGCAUCUGCGUGUGCAUGUCCGCCAUAGUAUCUGCCAUCUAUUUCAUUAUCCGCAUCUGGGCUGCAACAGCUGGAUCAGCUCUGGCUAGUGGAGGAUUGGGAGGAUUCAUCUCUUCUUGUUGUUGUGGUUGUCUAUAUAUCCGCUGACUGUGUCGAUUGGGGGGUAGAUCAAUUCCACCACCCUUCCUAUUAUUGACCAUCUGAGUUAGAAACAUAUGUUAAGAAAGAAAGGAAUUGUAGACAAGGCAGGUAAUUACGAGGCAAGUUACUUUGGGGGAUUUAUUAACUAAGUGUGCCACCUACUAAAGCUAAUACAUUACCUUAUAGUGGUACAUGAUAAGAUGCCCAACUAUACUAUUUCAUUCAAUCAAAGAAGCAAAUCAGACAUUUAUCAUCAGAACAAUCAACCAAUAUUUUAAAUAAGGAAAAUAGUUUAAAUUUUGUCUUAGGCCUCCUAUCUCUUAAAAAGGUCAUAAAUGUAGGAUUCAAAGGUGUGAAAUCCAUCUUGUCUUAGAGUAGAAAAGAUAAGAGUAAUCAGAGUAGAACAAUAGAAGGUGAGACAGGAUCAAGAUAAGUGUAGACAGAAUCAGAGUAAAGUAAGCAGGUAAGAGUUUUGUCCAAUUCUAUCUAGGUUUAAUCCUACAGUCAACAUUUGCUCUGAUACCACUUCUGUCAAACCCAGAUUUAAGGGAUAAAGCCGGGUGCAUCUCAUAUGUGCGCCAAGAAAGAACAACACACAUAAUAAUAGAGUGCAUAAAGAUAAAUGUCAUAAAUGUCAUGAAUGUAUUUAUAACAUAGCGGAAGUCUUACAAAUAAAUGAUAAAUAUAAAACAAACUAAAUCUUAUUUUCCUAGCGCUACAAAGCUGAGUGGGAGACGCCACCUAGAUUAAGUCGAACUCUUCGCUAAGAAGCUCCUCUUGAACCACUUGUUCUUCUCGUGUGGGGGUGUGAGACAGCAAGGGUGAGCUCACAUACGUUCAUAGCUCAACAAGUUGUGGGGAAUAAUGUGCAUGAACUCGCCAAAGGUGGGAGUUCAUGUGAAGUGUAAGGCUGAUCAACAAAAUAAAGGUUGAAGCUGAGCAUUGCUUUUAUAAGUUGGUCAAAAUUUUAUUAGCAGUUACUAAGUGUAAGUAAAUACCAAACCAUAGUAAUAAUAAAUAAAAGUAAUAAUAAAAUAAUCCCAAUGCGAUGCAAAUGACAAAUUGAAUUUAAUUCCAUAAAUUAAUCAUGUGAGGGUCCAAGCUGCUCAUGGCCGUGAGCACGGCUAGUAUACCAGUUUUACACUCUGCAGAGGUUGCGCAUCUUUACCCACAAGUCAUGUUACCUAUCUGCUAAGAGACGACCAAUCCCAUACACCUCUACCGAGGAGGCGAGGCAGGGUAACACUACGAGGCCUUUACAAAGUUCCACUAGCUUCAGAAAACCUGCUACAAUUUAUAGGAAGCUCCAGUGCAGGGAUCCCAUGCCUGACCGCCAUUGCAACAAAAUCAACCCAAGGACCUCCCUUCACUGACCACUCCCCUACUGCCCUUGCCCCUAUCGGGUAAGGUAGUCAUCCACUAGCUUUCCUAGUUAAUCAGCCAAGGGCGUCCCAUACCACCCUUGUGGUAGCACUGUUUUCCCGGGUGGUUGCUCCAUGUUCUCAUUAACAUAAUGAUCUUUUCAUGAACAGUAAAUAAUAAAUAAGAAUAAAAGUGUGAACAUGAGUAAUGUAAUCUCUAUACCCAAAACCACAUAAAGCAAUAGCAUAUACUACCCAAAAAUAUUAAGUGGUAAAACAAGGUAUAAAGAUAGCCAAAACUAAGGUAACCUAUUGGAUCCAAUCAAAAUUAACCUAUGCAGAUCAUUAUGAUUAAUAAGAACGUGACUGGGUAAAAAGAAGUGAUCAAGGGCACAACUUGCCUUCAAUGAGCUCCUGGUGAGCAACUUCUAUCUGCAGAACAUAAGAGUUAAAUUUUUCUUUCUCCAGCACUCACCAAAUUCGGGCGUUACCUUUCCUCUUUCUUUUUCUUCUCGCUAAGCCUUGUUCUUUUUCAAUGUUCUAGCGAGAAUUAGCUCGACAUCUUGUGUAGGUGAACCCUGGAAAUAUUUUCAUUGGUUGUUGCAUCAUGCUGAGCCAUGCAUCUAUUUUCUUUUGUGUGUAUUUGCUUGGUUUCCACAAAGUAUGCAUUUAGUAGAAGGUUAGAGAUGAAAUAGAUAAUAGGAAAAUAAGAAGAAAAUAAAAAGGGAAAUCUCUCCCUCUCUCAUUUCGGCCCAGCCGCGGCCCUUUUUUCCUUCCUUUUCUCCCCCCUCCUCCUUUCCCUCCCGCUCGGCCUACGCCGUCUUGGGCCAGCCGGCGCGCGACCCAGCCGAGCCCCCCUCUCUCCUGUGGCCUGUGCCCCGCGCCCCCCACGCGCGCUGCGUGCAGCGCGAGUGGUUGUAGCCGCCGCCGCCCCCUGGUGGGGCCCACCCGUCAGCCCCACGCCCCAAAACCGCCUCCCUCUCUCUCCUCUACCCCCCGCGCACAUUCUCUCUCCCCACGCAGCUCGUCCCUCUCCUCCACCUCGCCGCCGCUCGGAACCGUUGGCCGUCUACGCUGCCCUCGCCCCCGCGCGGUGAGCCCCAUCCCCCUCUCUCUCUCCCACCCACCCCUCUUCUUCCUUGGGCACGAUGGCCAUCACUGCCCGUUCGGCGCGGCGCGGUCGCCCCGGCGUGGCCCCCUCCCUCUCCCUCGUGCUUGCCCUCGCCCCGGCUUGCCCGCUCCUUCCCGCGGCGUGGCACGCUCGCCCCAGCCCGCCCGGCGCUCGUCAUGCCCCCACGCGCUCGCCCCCUCCCCGGCUCGCCACCCCGUGCCCGUGGCAAGGCCUUGAGCUCGGCCAGCGCGUGGCGCCCUGGCAUAGCGCUCGGCGCGGCUGCUUGCUCCCUCGCGUCUGGCGCGAUGCGCGCGACCCCCUGCGCUCGUCGCUGGCGCGACGCGCGAUGUCUUGGCGUGGUUCACCGUGCUCUCGGCGCGACGCGUAGCAAUUCGCCACGCAAGUAACGUGCCCGUCUACCCCCCUAGACCACCCCGUCUACCCCCCCCCCCGCGUAUAUUUUAUGCGCGUUGAGCAUGUCGUUUAUUUUAUGUAGUUGAACUCCACUUAGAAUUGAUCACGUUAAUUAUCUCACGUAGUUAAAUGAUGACUUAAGUAAUGUCGGCCAAUUGGAAUAAUUGUAACUCUGUUAGUGUUUGUGAUUAAUACCUCUUAGUAUGACUAGGUAGAGUUGGACGAAGUAAUGAUUAAUUGCACACCCACACGUAAUACGUUUCAACUAUAAAUUUAACCGUUGUGAGUCCCUUCUUUUUCUCUUUCUAGCAAUUGCGAAUGCAAAUCGUAUGUCAUAUCAUAUGCAUAUUCAAUUGAUCUGCUCUCUUGUAUGGUGUACUGUUUAUUUCCUAAUUCAAAGAUAUGGAUGUAUGUUUGCACUCGCAUAGAUAACAGUCUGGUUGAGGAGUCCGAAGAACUUGCAGGAGAAGACUCUGAGAAGCAGCUGGUUGGUGGAGGCAAGUGUCCCUUGACCCACUUAUGUCCUAUACAUUCCUCAAUUCACUUUCCGCAUUUACAUAGUUUAUACCUAAGGAUUGACUAGCUUUUGUUAUCCGUUUCCUUACUUACCUAUUUGGGUCGGAUUAUUCUGGUUUAGCUUCAUGCUAGUGCUUCACAUUAAUCAAUGAACAUGAUGAUAUUUAACAAUGAUACGUUGUUUCCCUUCUUUAUUAUGAUGAUAUACUUGUGGUAUUUAAGGGGACUCGAGUGGUUUCUUGAGUGCCUCUCUGUAAGGACCUGUUCGUUGGAUGACCGCCCGGGAAAACAGUGCAACCAUGAGGGUGGAAUGGGACACCCUUAGCUUAAUAAUUAGAGGAACCAGGGUUUAGUUCGCUUCGCCAUCGUGCCGUUAAUGGGGCUCGGUGUAUGCGGCUCGCUCUGCCAAGGUUGGUUUUGCCCCUUGGGGAGGAGUGCGGUACAUUUAGGAAACCUAACGGGCGGCUACAGCCCCGGGGAAUCUUUGUAAAGGCUACGUAGUGAUACCCUGCUGGGUCACCUUGGUAGUGAUCAAUUGAGAGUCAUGAUCUCCGGGUAGAAAGGGAAUCAUGACUUGUGGGUAAAUUGUGCAACCUCUGUAGAGUGUUAUGAAAACUGACAUAUCAGCCGUGCUCGCGGUUAUGAGCGGCCAAGGGAGCUCCAUUGAUUAGAGAUACUUGAUUAGAGAUGUUCGAAUUACAGGUGGUGAUGAGAAUGAUGGUUUUGGUAUUGACUAUGGUAAUGGUAAGUGAUAUUCUUUUCGUUUGGAAAGGGUACUUUUGGGUUAACAACUUGGGUUAAUACUAAAAUCUGGCUCUCUCUGCUAAUAAUAAUAAUCUGACCAACUAAAAGCAACUGCUUGACUUACCCCCACAUAAAGCUAGUCAAGUACAGCCAAACAGGACAUUUGUAGAGUAUGUUGAUGUGUACUCACCCUUGCUCUACACACCAAACCCUCCCCUUCCCCAUUUACAUGUCUUAGAAUUGCUACUGUUCAUUGCUGCUAUAAUUUCAUAUGGUAUUUAUCUGAGUUAUAUGAUUAUUUUAUUCGGAAUUAGAAUAUUUAAUUUAUUUAAAUAUGAAGGAAGCAUGUCACUUAUUUCUCUAAAUUUACAACAGUUGCAACCACUGCUCAGGAGAAGAUGAAGCCAUGGAGGAAGACUUCCAGGAGUUCCAAGAUUACGACGAGUUUUAGGCGUGGGUUAGCGCAACCCCCAGUCAGCUGCCUGUGAAGGCCGCGUGCAUCUACGUUUCAUUUUCGCACUUUGAUUAUUGUUAAAGACAAUGUGGAUGUCUCAGACAUAUGAUAUAAUCAACUAUUAUUACCCUUUUAUGUUAUUAUUUGAGCACUGUGUGAUGAUAUCCAGUUAUGUAACUGCUGUGUACGUGAAUUGCUGAUCCUGGCACGUGCAUGGUUUGCAUUCAGUUUUCCUUCUAAAACCGGGUGUGACUUUGGUACCCCUUCAAAAGUUGGUCAUAUCGACCAAACCUAUGUUCUACUAUAUAUAUUACACCUUGUUGAAAAUCUCGUUUUAUUCUAAUUCCACAUUUAUUUAUGGUUUACUUGCUGGUCAUACUAGCUCUGUUCUCACCCUUAUGCUUACGGUGUCUUUUGUAGAUGGCAAGUCUUAGACACACUGCAUAGAAGUCUGUCAUCCCCUUCUUACCCUCUCGCCUCGCUGAGCAUCCGCUUUGCCGUCCAGUGACUGGUCAGCCUAGCCACUUGGAGAGGCUGCACCACCGCCUGCACGAGGAGCAGGAGCGUUGACGACAGGGCUAUUCUUUCUCGCUUCAGCAGGAGAUAGAGUCUGUGAGGAGCUGCUCCCCUGUGCUCCCACUGGAGGCGCCCCCUGCACCACCAUUGAGCGCCCCAGCCGCUGGAGUAGCUGCUGGAGGAGACCCAGACGAUGGAGGCAGUGACAGUAGCUCAAGCUUCAGCACCGACCUUUCAGCUGACCAGGAGCAGGAAGGAUGGGUCGCUCGACCCAUCACUUGCGACGCCGCUCGUGGGUGUCACUUCUACGAUGCGCUCGACACCCUGCUGCGCUAGGCACUUGACCAACGUACUUGGUCCAUCGAGUAUCGCUGUGUUGUCUUCUAGCACAGUCGCGAGGUUUACCCGGACCGCUGGGAGGCGACCUGCUUGGUGCGCCGUCCCGAGAACAGUCUCCGGGGUGCGGAGAUCUGCUCAGAACACUACUCUAUCUCUGAGCGGGACUCCGCUGAGGCGGCCAUUCAAGAUGCUGCACGGCGUGCGCUUUCGCACUACUGCUCAAUGCUCGGUGGGGUAGCCGAUGGUCUCAACCUGAAGUAUUAACCCCACCGUCCAUCUGGCAGCACAGGAGGCAUGAUUGUCUCACCUGUUGGUGAGGACAAUCCUAGGUCGAGCAGCACAGUCAACCUAACCGCUGUGCUAAACACGGAGCUGGACCAUGCAUUAGACGAGCUGAGUAGGGCUCGUGCUGAGAUCGCUGAGCUGCGGGCUGAGCGUGCGGAGCGUCGUCACCUGGAGGAUGGAUCCCCCGCUCCCGUCGAGACUCAGCACCCGUACCGCUCACCUCGGCGUGGACACCAGGCGUAUGGCAACCCCGACUCUAGGACCAAGAUAAAUUUAGAACCAUAGAUCGUCAGUGUUGGGAACUGUAAUGAAAGUUUAAAGAUAGAAGUCUUAGUCUUAGUCUUAAUCUUAGUCUUAGUCUCGGUCUUACUUUUAGUAAGUCUUAGUUAGAUAGGGUAGUUUGCUUAUCCUAUGCUUUUAUGUUUAUCAUGAUAAACUAUGUUGGAUUUGGAUCUUUGUAAUGAUUGUCACAAGAGUGUGGGCAUCCCCUGCACCUUGGUUUACCUCUUAAAUGUUAAUGAAGUUAGUUAUCUAGUUGGGAAGCCUCUUUAUUCCACUUUCCUCUUUAUCUGAGAAGUUGUGCUUACCUGUGUUGGAAAUCAGUGAAGAUGCUCAUCUGUUCAGUAUUGUGGAAGGAUUCUAUACUCUUUUCUU
rnacentral:lncRNA from 1 species